GAAUGUCAAAACUCAUCAACAACUAUCCAAUCCACAAGUCUGUAGAUAUAAGAGCAAUUCCUUCUUCACUACCAUAAUUCAUAAACAACAACCAAGAAACUGAUCACCCUUUAAAGCCUUACAGGUGAUGAAUGUCAUUCUAUGGCCAUUUUAACACAAUGCUGACAAACCGAAUAUAAACUAACUAUGGACAAGGGAGCUCGUUGUGGCGCAAAGUGAGGCAAGGUCACCAGAAGUGAAACCCUUUUUCCUUGCCUCUAUCACCGAGGGAGGGUGUUUGUAAUGAGAUAUCUAUUGGUUGGCAUGCUGUAUCCAUCACCAUCCUCCAGCGUUCGUUACUGAUUCUGGUGUGGUUUGACAUUCCCGGGUUUCCAUCCAAGUUCCCGGGCUCUUUCCUCCCACAAAGCAGUUAAUUUCCUUUGACCGAGCAGCGACUCUGCUGAUUUCUCCCUAGCUUCUUCACAUGUAUCCAUACCUGAACUGCAUUUAUCAGCUUCCUUUUGGUACUGCGAAGCUAAUUUUUUGGCCUCGAGCAAUUUUACAUCUGCUUGUUGCUGAGCUUCUGUUGCUUCCUCCUCUCUCUGCUUUAGCUCUUCUAUCAGUAACUCUGUUUCCUCAUUGGGAGCACCACUCUUGACCUCUUUGAACUGUUUGGCACAGUCUGGAAACAUCAGAAGCAAUAAUAACCAGUUAAAGCGGUACCAGACAGUUGCAAAAUAUGGAUAUGGAAUACAAGUGCCAUUGGGUGCUUCAUUUGACAUGUUUGAUUGCUUAUGAUAAGGACAUAGUACAUAACAAGGUGCCUAUGUUUACGGACAAAGCAAUGCUUCUAAAACACUAUGGAGUUAUUGCAAAGAAAAUGAGUAUGACUUUAGACAUAGAGCUUAUGGGCUGGUUUUAUAAUGAUACUGCAUAGUAUGAUUAUGACUUCAGAGGUAGACUGGCAAUUUACCAUGUUUAUUUAUUUAAGAAUUUAGAUAUUUAUUAAGAGGUAGCAUAGUAUCCAAGUCAGGACUAACUGUAAAAUGGAGAAAAACAACUGAGCUACUGGUUAAACUACUGACAAAACAGAGUAUAUCAUGGAUACAAACUAAUUACAGAGUGUGGAGAGAACAAUAAACAUAAGAAAAUAUUCCCACAUAUAGCAACUAGAGCAAUUCAGACUAUAAGGACAAAGGAAGGCAACGCAGAUCAAACUUGAGAAUCAAAGAACAAAUAUCGCAAUGCUCAUAUGUGACAGCACCAAGACAAGAUAGGCAUAAACCUUUCAACUCUAUCUUGUUCAGUAAAAUACAUAAUUACUCCCAGUAUAAGGCUACAACCUGAACCAAUGUUCUGACUUCUGAAUAACUGAAAACAUCUUGGUCUCACCCCCAAAUUUCAAGCAUGCCUAAAAUUAUAAUCGAUCAGCCAUGGCAAGGCCGGGCAUAGAAAAUCUGGUGCAUAAUAAGCAUUGAACAGAACGAGCAAGGUAAACUAUGCUUGCUUAUUAGGACAUUCAGAUCACAGGUUAGAAUGCCCCCAUAAAAUGAGAAUCAACAGAUCCUAUUAUCUAUAUAUCAUGCCAAGUUCUUAGGAUAUCCACAAAACUACCAUGUCCCAUCCACAGCAGAACGCAAUACUAAUUAAACUACUGAGAAGACAGAGUGUAUCAUGCAUGGAUACAAUCUAAUUUAAGAGUGCAUAGAGAACAAUAAACAUAAGAAAAGAUUUCCACGAAUAGCAACUACUCCCUCCGUUCCGAAUUACUUGUCGCAGGUAUGGAUGUAUCUAGAUGUAUUUUAGUUCUAGAUACAUCCAUUUCUGUGACGAGUAAUUUGAAACGGAGGGAGUAGAACACUAGACAUCUUUGAGUAGGCUGAGGAUAAAAAAUGCCAUCUCAGGUUGAGCUUGCGAAUCAAAUAACAAAUAUCAAAAUGCUAAUACGUGAUAGCACCAACACAAGAUAGGCCUCAACAUUUCAGUAGCAUGUCAUUUUAUACAUUCAAUUUUAUCGUGUUCAGUGACCAUACAUAAUUACUACAACCUGAACCCAUGUUAUGACUUCUGAAUAAGUGAAAACAUAUUAGCCUCACACCCAAAUUUCAAGUAUGGUUUUAGUUGAUCAAUCAGUCAUGGCAAGGCCAGACACAGAAAAUUUUAUGCAUAAGCAUUGAACAACAAACUGAGCAAGCUAAUAUAUGCAUGCUUGUCAGAAAAUCUACAGAUAUCCUAAUUUAUACUAUAUCUUGCCAAGUUCCUAUCCUAUCCACAAUCGUGCAAUGGCCAGCGGCUCGAAACGCAUUGCUCGCUGAGCACCGAAAAAUUGCACGGCGAAGGCAGGGAAAGAAGGGCCAUGUGGAACGGCCGGAGCAAGGAGAUCUGGGCGGGUUGGUCGGGGCACCGACAGCAAGAGGGGCGGGUACCUUCCGGGAGCUGGAGCAGCGGGAGCGCGUCGCAGUCGCAGGCGCACGCGGGGCAGGCCCCGGCCGAGCGGCCGAGCGCCUCCGCGACGUGCCAGUAGAGCGGCGGGCCGACGAUGUAGGCCGCCACGCCGAGCCCGAGCAGCGCCACCAGCGCCAUCACCGCCGCGGGGCUCGGGCCCCACGACGACGAAGACGACAAGCGGCCCGCCAUCGCCUCCGCGCCGAGGAUGGACGGUGGAUUGAUGGUACGGCCGCGCUGCGCUGCGCAGCGGUCCGGCGCGAGGUGGGUGGGGGCCGGGGAGGCGUGGCUUGUCGGCGGCCCGGCGCGGCGGCGUGGGGAGUGGGAAUGAGUGAGUGAGUGGGGAGUGGGGACGGACCGGACGCGCGCGAGUGGAGACGGGCGACGGCGGUACUACGAGUUCCAGAAUUGUGCUUUUGCUUCUUUUUCACACCUGUGCCAAAGAGCNNNNNNNNNNNNNNNNNNNNNNNNNNNNNNNNNNNNNNNNNNNNNNNNNNNNNNNNNNNNNNNNNNNNNNNNNNNNNNNNNNNNNNNNNNNNNNNNNNNNNNNNNNNNNNNNNNNNNNNNNNNNNNNNNNNNNNNNNNNNNNNNNNNNNNNNNNNNNNNNNNNNNNNNNNNNNNNNNNNNNNNNNNNNNNNNNNNNNNNNNNNNNNNNNNNNNNNNNNNNNNNNNNNNNNNNNNNNNNNNNNNNNNNNNNNNNNNNNNNNNNNNNNNNNNNNNNNNNNNNNNNNNNNNNNNNNNNGGGGCGAGCUGUUUUGGCACGAAAAAGCCGCGGGCCAGCCGCGUCAGCGACACGGCGCCUCGUCUUUCCCCAACGGCCUCGGUUCCCGCGGGGAAUCAAUGGCAAGGCUGUCGCCGGUCAGCCUUACCAUUGAUUUCUCACGGGCGGCGCGUCACGGGACGGCGCGCCGACGCCUCCCCUCCCUCGCACGUGUUCACACGGGCGCGGCGCGGCUAUAUAGCCGGUGGCCUCACUCGCCUGUGCCCACACCAGUCCCGCCCCUCGCCGCCACCCAGCCCCUCCCUCUGCCUCUCCCGAGCGCCGCCGCCCAGCCCCUCCCUCUCCCUCUCUACCUCUCCCGAGCCCGUCGCCAUGGCAGAGCGUUUCCCCGGAGACGAGGUGGCGGCCAACGGCUUCGGCCGCCGUUCGCUGCGCGAACAGGAGUCCUGGCUCCUGUUCCAGGCGAACAUCCCGGCGCCGCCGGACAUGCGCGCCGGGCCGACGGGGUGGAGGCUCAGCGACGGGGAGUGCCCAUUCCCCCGUUGCCCGAUGCCAUGGCCAAGCCCAACUACUUCUCCGAGGAGGUCGAGGUCGGUACGCGCCUCCCUCACCGACGCCCAGCUCUCCCUCCCCCAGUACGCCGCCGACAACCACGCGGCUUGGGCGGCGUACUUCGAGCGCCGGCAGCAGCAGCGGUUGACGUCCACCAACGACGCCCCGGUGGUCGGCGGCCCGAAGAACAGCGAGGGGUGCCACCUGUGGUGGGGCGUCCCCGGCCGCACACUCGAGGGUGUGCUGACGCACCUCGAGGGCGGCAACGACCCGCUGUUGGCGUACCCAGCGAGGGUGGCCGCCCCGGCGCACCACCGACGUGCCGGGCCAUGGGCGCCAAGGAGGUUCGGGUCCUCCUCCUCUUCUUCCUCCUCGCGAUCUUCCUCGCACUCCUUCGGUGCUCCGGCCCUGCUCGGCGUCAAGGCCGAGCCCGCGGCGGAGACGCCGCUCGGCCGGCGCACUCGCAGCGCCGGCAUCAUCAUCAACGAGGGCGGCCGGCGCGCCUCCUCGUCGGCUCCUCCUUCGCGCUUCGUCAAGCCAAAGACGGAGACGGGGCUCGCGCCGGUGAAGAAGGAGCCAGCCGCGCCGGUGAAGACGGAGCUCGACGACGACGACGCGGCCCUGGAAUGGGCGCGCAGGGACUCCAUAGCGAUGGAGAAGGAGCGCCAGGAGAAGGCGAAGGAGCGCCAGUGCGCCGCCCUGCGCCGCCCUGCGCCGUUUCGUGGAGCGCCGCCGCGGCUGCGACGAAGGCGGGGUCGUCGUCAUCUGCGACAGCGACGACGACGCCGCGCCGCCGCCACCAGCCCGCGUUGGCGACGCUGGUCAGGGGUCCACCAGGGACAACCGCGUCAAGGAGGAGAAGUUCAACGACGGCGGCGACGAUGGCGACUAGUCGGCGUUCAGCCAGUUUCUCUUUUAGUUUAGUUAUCUAUUUUGCUAUGUAAUGAAAAGCAGCGAACAUGUCUAAUAUAUGCCCAAGUUUGCCGAAAUUUAUCGUGUUUAGCCGAACUUUGCCGAACUGUGCCGAAAUUUGCUAUACAAAUUUUAUUUUUUAAACGCGCCUGGGGGCGGCCCUGGGGCCGGCGGCUGGGGACCAACUCGCCCCCAGACCGAAUUUUUGCGCCGGCUCACCCCCAGGCGGCGAUUUUAGGCGCCCCCUGGGGGGCCAACGGCUGGAGAUGCUCUUAGGGCAUGUACAAUGGUACACUAUCUUAGGAGUGUCGUGUAAAAUAAAUGAUGAGAUGGAGGAAAGAGAACUCAUAAAAAAUAGUCUUCUUUUAGAGCAACUCCAACGGGCCGACUCAAACGGACGACGCUUUUGUCCGCUUUUUGUCCGUUUGGGUCGGCCGUCCGCCCGCCGUCCGUCCUCUUUUAGAUUUGGGUCGGCAGUGCGCCCAACGGGCCGACCCAUUUCAUGACCGUGCGCGCUUUAGAUCAUGCCAGCGGCCAUGCCGCCGCCCUGGUUUUGGCGCUCCAGCGUGCGGGGGAAAAGUGGCUCUAGCGUGCGCUGGUUUUGACGCUCCAGCGCGCGGGAAAGAUUCACGCGCGCGCCGUGGCCGGCGCUUGUUAUAAAAAGGCGCUCCCUCCACAUUCUGUCCGCCACCCACUCGUCUCGCCCCCUCUCACUAUCCUCGCCGCCUCUGCGCCACCAUGUCGAUGCGCCGCCUGGGUGCUUCGGAUUUUCACGGAGUCCGCGAGCGCCACUCCGGCGCCUUCUCCUCCGAGAUCUGGUUUGGCGAGAAACACCUCAUCCUUGGCACCUUCGACACCGCAGAGGAGGCGGCCCGCGUGCACGACGCAGCGGCAUGGCGCCUCCUGAGGCCUCGUCGGGAUAUGAAUUUUUUCGACGUGUCGAGCCAGUGGGCGCAGGAUCUCGCGCCUCUCCCGCGGCUUUUCACCGACGAGAAUCAUUGUGUCCACCGGAGGCGGCAGCGUCGCCUCGCCAUCGCCGAGAUGGACGUGGAAGCCAUGGUGGUGGGGCGCGAACGUUUCCUGCAGGACAUCGUCGAUGAGCGCCAGUUCUACAAGCAAAGGAGGACGGAGAGGGACGCGGGGAGGACGGAGCGAGCCGCCUAUCGGGAGGACAAGCGUGCGCGGAAGCAGGCCGCUCAAUUGAAACUAAAGCUACGAGAAAUGUCGGGUUGGGACUUCGAAGACGAGCAGUAUGCUGACGCCUACAUUCAGACGUCAGAGGAGGACAUUACCGAAUCGGAGUCGGAAAGCAGCGAGUAGUUGGUCUUUUCUUUUAUCUGUGUACGCUAGAACUAUCUAUGUAUCCUUUUUUUAUCGAAAAAAUGGCCGGCGGCGUUGGUGACGAAGUAGGCGGGCGAGGGUGUGUUGUUUGAUGUGAAGAGGCCAAUGUGCCACCGACCAGCGGGCCCGGGGAGGAGAGAGGGCGAGCGCGCGCGUCCGCCUUGUGUCCGCGCCGACGCAAAUCCGGCUAAAAAAUGGGCCGGAAAUGGGUCGGCAGGCGGACGAAAGCAGGCACGCGUCCGUUUGGGUCGACGCGUUGGGCUGACUUUUCUGUCUGCACCGAUCCAAACGGACGGCGGCGGACAAAAUGGGUCGCCCCAUUGGUGUUGCUCUUAUUUAAGAGAAGACAAGAGAUGAUCUCUUAGCACAAUAUGUCUCAUCACGUUUUUAGGAAUAACUAGUUAUUGAAGAUGAGGUUAAGAGAUGACCAAUUGUAGACAUUCUUUUUUGUCAUCUCUAAUUUACAUACAAAACUUAAGAUAAGACUAUCUUAUCAACCAUUGUACAUGCCCUUAGGAGUUUGCCGAAUUCACGACUUUGUCGCGUUGAAUUACGCUUGAUGACCACCACACUCCCUGAAAAACAAACACUUAGGCCCUGUUCGGAGCACCUCUACCCCACAACUCUACUCGUGGAGUUGGUGGAGUUACAAUUCAAAAUUGCGGGGCAGCUAUUUCCUGGCUCCGUAGCUCUCGGAAUUUCGUGGAGCUGGUGGAACUCCGAAUAGGCCCUUACUUGAUAGGUCAUUCUGAUGCCUCUCAAUUCAACUACACGUAUUUCCCAUGCAUUUUCCUUGAACUCAAUUCAAACUUGUGAAUGUUACCAGGCCUUAAGCAUUGUUCCAUCACGUACUUGGGUAUCAAGCACUAUAAAAAAAGACACAUCCGUGAUAUUUUGGGCCGAACAAAUUUUUUUUCUGUCAUACGUAUGACACUUCUUUGACGAUAAUUGUGACAAAACCCGGUAUCAUCAUAGAUGUGGUGAGCCCUACUUCUAUGACAAAAAAUCAUGACAGAAAAUGGGCUUUUCAUCCUGGGCGGGCCGGAGACGCAGCUGCAUGACAUUCUUUGGGCCGUCCAUGACGGAAAAAACCGUGGUAGAAGCGAGGGGGAGGAAAAUUUUGGGGAGUUCCCGGUUACGGUGGGAGGUCAGGGGCCGAGCGAUGCGCGUUUCUCUCGUACACGUAUGCGCGUGUGUGUGGGCCGUUGGCUCUAACUGAACCCGAGCGAGGCAUUGGGCUCUAACUGAACCCGAGCGAUUGCACUGCAGGCUACGCAUUACUGAACCCGAGCGAUCGAUCGAUGGCUGUUAACUGAACCCGAUCGAUUGAUUCCUUCGCUACUGCUGCUAACUGAAGCCGAUUGNNNNNNNNNNNNNNNNNNNNNNNNNNNNNNNNNNNNNNNNNNNNNNNNNNNNNNNNNNNNNNNNNNNNNNNNNNNNNNNNNNNNNNNNNNNNNNNNNNNNNNNNNNNNNNNNNNNNNNNNNNNNNNNNNNNNNNNNNNNNNNNNNNNNNNNNNNNNNNNNNNNNNNNNNNNNNNNNNNNNNNNNNNNNNNNNNNNNNNNNNNNNNNNNNNNNNNNNNNNNNNNNNNNNNNNNNNNNNNNNNNNNNNNNNNNNNNNNNNNNNNNNNNNNNNNNNNNNNNNNNNNNNNNNNNNNNNNNNNNNNNNNNNNNNNNNNNNNNNNNNNNNNNNNNNNNNNNNNNNNNNNNNNNNNNNNNNNNNNNNNNNNNNNNNNNNNNNNNNNNNNNNNNNGCUGGAUGAACAGUAGACGGUGGAGGGGUGGUUGAACAGGACCCCCGUGGUGUGGAGGGCUGGAUGAAUAGUAGACAAUGGAGGGGUGCCCGUGGAGGGGUGGUUGAACAGGACCCCGUGGUGUGGAGGGCUGGAUAAACAGUAGAUGGUGGAGGGGUGGUUAAACAGUAGCCGGUGGAGUAGCGCGCGGCGGAGGCUGGAUGAACAGGAGCCCGUGGAGGCUGGAGGAGGUCGACGAUGGAGAUGAACAGUAUCCCGUGGAGUCCCGUUUUGCGGUACGCCACACCCCUCCUGAUGAACAGGACCCCCGUUUCGACCGUAGCGCUGCAACACAAGUCCGUUUCCUCCGUUUUGCGGUACGCCACACCCCUCCCGAUCAACAGGACCCCCGUUUCGAUCAUAGGAGGUCCGUUUCCUCCGUUUUGCGGUAUGCCAGACCCCUCCCGAUGAACAGGAUCCCGUUUCGAACAUGGCCGGUCGAACACAAGGCCGUUUUCUCCAUUCUGCGAUACGCCAGGCCUCGUUUCCAUCGCCUGUUCCGUCCAAGCCCUCCCGAUGAACACGACGCAUUCCGUUGCCUCCCCAUGAACACGACGCAUUCCUUUGCCUCCCCAUGAACACGACGACGACGCUAUUUCUCUGUUCCGACCCAGCCAUGUACACGAGCCCUGGCCGUACGUAUGCGCGAGUAGGCGUUCGAGACCCCGCCCGUAUGUAUACAUACGUGGCCGUAUUUUCUUUUUCUUGCACCCUGGCCGUUGUACGUACGUGUAAAUGCUACGUGCACGCCUCUACUACGACACGUGCGCGCCUCUACAUCGACCAGUAUGUACGUACACAUUCGCGACCAGAAUGACAACGCUACGUACGCUUCGACCAGGUGGGUCCCGACUGUCAGGCACUUCCUUACCUACGAAGAUGUAGCUGGUGGGUCUCAGCAGUCAGGGGGCGAAUCGUUUUUUUUCCCGGACGCACUUCCUUGCAUGCGAAGAUGUAGCUGGUGGGUCCCAGCAGUCAGGGGAAACGUUUUUUUUGCGAAAUACGGUGGCCCGUCCGGUGGGUCCCGCUGUCAGGUGGAGGAAUAAUUAUUUUGCACGUAAUUGAAGGAAAUAUGCCCUAGAGGCAAUAAUAAAGUUAUUAUUUAUUUCCUUAUAUCAUGAUAAAUGUUUAUUAUUCAUGCUAGAAUUGUAUUAACAGGAAACAUAAUACAUGUGUGAAUACAUAGACAAACAGAGUGUCACUAGUAUGCCUCUACUUGACUAGCUCGUUAAUCAAAGAUGGUUAUGUUUCCUAACCAUAGACAAAGUAGUUUUCAUUUGAUUAACGAGAUCACAUCAUUAGUUGAAUGAUCUGAUUGACAUGACCCAUUCCAUUAGCUUAGCACCCGAUCGUUUAGUAUGUUGCUAUUGCUUUCUUCAUGACUUAUACAUGUUCCUAUAACUAUGAGAUUAUGUAACUCCCGUGUGCCGGAGGAAUACUUUGUGUGCUACCAAACAUCACAACAUAAAUGGGUGAUUAUAAAGGUGCUCUACAGGUGUCUCCAAAGGUACAUGUUGGGUUGACGUAUUUCGAGAUUAGGAUUGUCACUCCGAUCGUCGGAGAGGUAUCUCUGGGCCCUCUCGGUAAUGCACAUCACAUAAGCCUUGCAAGCAUUACAACUAAUACGUUAGUUGUGAGAUGAUGUAUUACGGAACGAGUAAAGAGACUUGCCGGUAACGAGAUUGAACUAGGUAUUGGAUACCGACGAUCGAAUCUCGGGCAAGUAACAUACCGAUGACAAAGGGAACAACGUAUGUUGUUAUGCGGUCUGACCGAUAAAGAUCUUCGUAGAAUAUGUAGGAGCCAAUAUGGGCAUCCAGGUCCCGCUAUGGGUUAUUGACCGGAGACGUGUCUCGGUCAUGUCUACAUUGUUCUCGAACCGUAGGGUCCGCACGCUUAAAGUUACGAUGACAGUUAUUAUGAGUUUAUGCAAUUUUGAUGUACCGAAGUUUUUUCGGAGUCCCGGAUGUGAUCACGGACAUGACGAGGAGUCUCGAAAUGGUCGAGACAUAAAGAUUGAUAUAUUGGACGGUUAUAUUCGGACACCGGAAUUGUUCCGGGUGAUUUCGGAGAAAACCGGAGUGCCGGAGGGGUUACCGGAACCCCCCGGGGAAGUAUUGGGCCUUAGUGGGUCUGAGGGGAGAGAGAGGGCUGCAGCCUAGGGGGUGGCGCCCCCCCCCAUGGGGAGUCCGAAUUGGACUAGGAGGGGGGGCCCUUUCCCUCUCCCUCUCUUUCCUUCCCCCUCUUCCUUCCUAGUUGGACUAGGAAAGGGGAGUCCUACUCCCACUAGGAGAAGGACCGCCCCUCUCCUUGGCGCACCAAGGGCCGGCCGGCCUCCCCCUUGCUCCUUUAUAUACGGGGGCAGGGGGGCACCCCUAGACACACAAGUUGAUCUUCGUGAUCGUUCCUUAGCCGUGUGCGGUGCCCCCCUCCACCAUAUUCCACCUCGGUCAUAUCGUUGCAGUGCUUAGGCGAAGCCCUGUGCCGGUUGAACAUCAUCAUCGUCACCACGCCGUCGUGCUGAAGGAACUCUUCCCCGACGCUUUGCUGGAUCGGAGCUCGGGGAACGUCAUCGAGCUGUACGUGUGCUAAGAACUCGGAGGUGCCGGAGUAACGGUGCUUGGAUUGGUCGGAUCGGGAAGACGUACGACUACUUCCUCUAUGUUGUGUCAACGCUUCCGUUGUCGAUCUACAAGGGUACGUAGAUCAUAGUCUCCCCUCUCGUUGCUAUGCAUCACCAUGAUCUUGCGUGUGCGUAGGAAUUUUUUUGAAAUUACUACAUUCCCCAACAGUAAUAAGGAGGCACUUCCUUGCUGCGGCCGUGGACCCAACUGUCAGCCUCUCCACGUACAAUCCACGUCCGAUGGAAGCCGUUCCUUGACCACGUUGACCACGUCGCGUCGAGAGCACCAGGGUGGUGGAGGACAACAAGGCCUAGGAAGGGGACGACGCGGAGCCGGGGAAGACGCGGCAGUGGAUGCCCACGCGUAGAGGAGUACGAGGGUUCACUGGUUCACUGCGGUGUGAGGCUAUCGUCGCUGCAGAAUAACAGGGGGUGUGGGUGAGUAGAGGGAUGGCCUGGCCAGCGGUGGGAGUAGUAGGGGCGGUGAGGCCUCCACCGCAUCACAGCCGGCCACGGGAGGCAGGAGCACGAGGCACGACCGGCGCUGGUUUAGGCGGCUGGAGCAAGAAGACUAGAGGUUGAAGAAGCACUACGGUCGUUGGAUGGACAUCGUACGGUCACUGGAGCUAGAAUCAUGCAUAUUGACUAAGUUGACAAAGCCCUCCGUCCCCUCAACUUAGUAGGCCCACAAGUCAGCCUGCCACUAUACUGGGUCCCAGCUAACAGGGGGAGUAUUCAUUUUUUUGUGCGUAAUAAGGAGGCACUUCCUUGCGUGCGAAGAUAUAGCUGGUGGGUCCGAGCUGUCAGCGGCGGUAACAUUUUUUUCGCGAAAUACAGAGGCCCUUUCGGUGGGUCCCUGAUGUCAGGUGGAGGAAUCAUUAUUUUGCACGUAAUAAGGAGGCAUUUCCUUGCGUGCGGCCAUGGACCCAGCUGUCGGCCUCUCCACGUAAAGUCCACUUCAGAUGCAUGUCAGUCAUUGACCGUGUUGACCAGGCCGCACCGAGAGCACCAGGGAGAUGGACGACGGCGAGGCCUAGGAAGGGAACGACACGAAGGCAGGGAAGACUCGGCAGUUGUUUCCCACGCGGAGGGGAGUACGACUAUACGUGGGUUUACUGGUUCGUCUGCCAUUGCCGGAGAAUAACAGCGGGUGUGGGUGAGUAGAGGGAUGGCUAGACCAGCGAUAGGAGUACGGUGGGGCGGUGAGGCCUGCACGGUAGCAGAGCCAGCUGUCGUGGUUCUAACUCUGACAGUGAUGUAGGGGGGUAUGUAUGGAGAGGCUAGAUCUUCGCUAUGGAGGAGUUGUAAGCACACGAGGAUUACGAGUUCAGGCCCUUCUCGGAGGAAGUAACAGCCCUACGUCUUGGUGCCCGGAGGCGGUCGACUGAAUUAUGUGUGUAUGAAUAACAGGGGUGCGAACCCUUGAUACUGAGGAGGGGGUGGCUUAUAUAGAGUUCGCUAGGCCCCUCCAGCCCUCAGUAAUGCAGGGUUUAAAGUACAUUAAGACUGGGGGUUACUGGUAACGCCCCUAAUAAAGUGCUAUGAUGAACAUAAAAGCUACUUAAUGACCGACCGUUUGCGUGCAGGGUGACUUUAGAUCUCCUGGCAGUCGAGUGGUUGGAUCUUGGUCGAGUGAUUGCUUCGUGGUCGAGUGUCUUGAAUCCGUCGAGUGGGAUACCUCCAAGUCGAUUGAAAGGUGACUUCUUCUAGGGAUGUCCUUGGGUAGGGUACUUAGGACAGGUCCAUGCCCCUACCCUAGGUACAUAGCUUCAUCAUUAGCCCCCGAAUGGAUCGAGGUUCGAGUGGGGAAGGAGUUGGGGAUCUUUCCGACUGGUUCUUCAUGUUAUAUGAACGUCUUGUUUUGGAUCAAUUGUCACGGAUGACGUCGUCAACUUCUUUCAGUCGCCUUGAUCCAUUCUUGGCCUCUUGUCGAGUGAAUUUCUUUACUUGUGAAGUUCCGAGUGACGGUGUGAAAGGGAUCUUCUGUUUGAUGAGUUGUUCUGCGGCCCGCGGAUUUUGCGGGAUUUGAAUUUGGGGAAGCGCGCGGGACGGGGGCGGCCGCAGUAAUCGGAUGGGAUAGGACGGAAGCUCCUCAAUCCCCGCGCCACCUUUUUCGCCACAUACCGCGCGCGCGCCUGUUGCGGGAUUUGACGGGAUUGCCUGGGCCUACCAGUCAGCCACUCGAAAGCGACCUCUUAUAAGCUGCCAGCUCGGGACCCCCGAACAGUGCGCCUUCACUUUCCCCCUUCCUUCACGAGAUCCUCCGCCACCUCCGCUCUCAUCUUGGUGCCGUAGGUCUAUUCGAGCUUCGCCGGCGACGAUGGUGAAGGAGAAGACGUCGGCUCUGGAGCGCACGAAGAAGGCGGCGGUGCAGGGGAAGGGGAAGAAGUCCGCUCGGGGCGGAUCUUCCUCGAGGACUGCUCUGCCCAAGGAUUGGAUCCAGGGCGACUGGAUGCCGUCGGCGAUUCGGCAGGAUGAUCUUGAUGUUCUGGUCAAGGGGGGAUUCAUUCCCCACGAAUCUGUGCGUCUCCCGGGGAAAGAAGUCGAACCCCAGCCUCUUGAUGGUGAGUGCGUCCUCCUCACCACCCAUAUCGAUCGUGGAUUCUCUCUGCCUCCUCAUCCUUUUUUCCGGAGCUUCUUGAACUUCUUCGGAGCGCAGCUCCAUCACUUUACUCCCAAUUCUAUUGUGUAUCUUGCUGCUUUCGUUUCCUUGUGUGAAAACUUCUUGGGUUGCCGCCCCCAUUGGGGACUCUUCAAGCACAUCUUCACUUGCCGCUCUCAGUCGGUCAAGAAGGUCAAGUCGAGUGACGAACGGACGCAGGUGAUCCAGCUGUGCGGGGGCCUGUCGAUCCAGAUGAGGGGAAAAAGUUCCUUUUCGUCUAUCACUUUUCCCGAGUCAGUCCGUGGGUGGCAGUCGACUUGGUUUUACUGUAAAGACCAGGUGACCCCAGGACAGUCGACUGGGCUUCCCCCUUUUUCUUUGAAUCGAGCACAAAAACCUGCCUCUCUGAAAGUGAUGCCGGAGGAAAAGGCGCAAGCCAAGGUGCUGGUCGGUCGAGUGGUUCAGCUUGUCCACGAGGGUGUGACUGGCAUGGACUUGUUGGAAGUCUUCCUUCAGAGGCGCAUCCAACCGCUUCAGGCUCGUGACCACCCGAUGUGGCUGUACUCGGGUCUCGAAGACACCACUCGGAUUCACCCAGAGGAGGUCACUGACGAGAUGUUGGAAGGGUGGCUGUCGAGUAUCACAGGGAACAAGGACAACCCCCGAGGAGCCAGGAGGAUUCCUCCACUCGAACAAACAUACGAAGUAGACAAGGUCUGACCUUGCGUUUCCCACUGUGAUCUUGCUUUCUUUAUUUGUUCUGUUUGGAUCAGUCGAUUGACUUUUGUCUUGUUUGCUGUCCUCUAGGCCAUUACUGAGAUGUACUCGACACCCAAUGGAGCACAGGAGCAGGCCGAGGAAGGAGAGGCGAGCGGAGGCGAAAGUGGAGACGAGAGAGAAGAGUGGGAAUCUGACGGCGAAGGAGAGGGGGAUGACGACGACGACUCCAGUGAAGAGGAGGAGGAAGAAGUCGAACCUCCCCGCUCGGAACGGCGAUCCAAGCUUACACACGACCCUGCGCGGGAACGUGGUAAGGCGACUGUCCCUGUUGGGCAGUCGUCGAAGCGCCCUCGGACCUCAUCUCCAGCGCCAACAGAAAAAUCUCCCAAGCACCCACGUGUGAUGCCAUCCAAGCCGCCCAAAGCUCUGCCCAGGAUGAAGAUGACUGUCCCCACCAUUUCUGGGUAAUAGUAGAAUUUGUUUUCCUUUGUUGAACGUGACGGACUCUUGGUCGACUCAUUGAAUAAGCUAACUAACUUUCGAAAUUUGCAGUGCUGCCACCUCGGAGAUCUCCGCCAAGGACGAUGAUCAAGAGAUGGAAGACGCUAUUACCUCCAACCCCGGUACGAUUACUGAUGCUCUGCUUUUAGUCGACUUACGAUUUCUUAUAAUUCCGGUCGAUUGGAUUUUUCUUGUAGCUCCUCCUCAUGUCAUUGACCUCCCUGAUGAUGACGACGAAGUGCCGCUGAGGGCGCGAAGGAACAGGAGGGUGCCGGCUGGCAAGACCCCACAAACUACUCCGGCGCUUGAGGCCGCAGUCCGGGAGGGUGGUGAUACCACUCGGGCUUCUGUGACCUUCGCUGAACCUCUGACAAGUGUCCGGCCUUCGACGUCGACUGCAAAUCCGCCUUCGCUUUUUGCCACACACCACGUCCCUGAGGACCAAGUGGGUGCCGCUAAAGAGGCUAUACGCCAGGCGGGGAUCAUGAUGGAGCAAGUGAAGAUGGUUCGGGAAGCCAGCCAAGCAGCUUAUGACGCGAGUUCAGCUCUUCAAAGCAACAUCCAGGUAGUCGAUUCACCGCUUGUUCUGUUAGGAUAUGCUAUCUGAAGAAUCUCUUUUCCGAAGAUCUUUAUAUCUGUACACCCACUGGGUGUGUCUAUUAAUCUCUUUGACGAGUGGGGGCACGCUAAGUGCACCCACUGGGUGUAGUCCCCGAGACUAUGGUGGACUGCUAGCAGUCGACUGUAGUCUUUAUAUUGUGUUGCUUUAGCUGAACUUCUUCACUCGAUCUGGUCAGGCCAUGUCGAAUGGAACUGUACACGGUCGACUGCGGGCAGUCGAUUUUUUUGGUCGAACCAGUGGGGGCACGCUGAGUGCACCCACUAGGUGUAGUCCCCGAGAAUACUGUCGAAUGUUUUUGAUUCGGCUGUAGUCUUAGAAACGCCAUCAUCGUCUCUUGGUUACUCGGAAGCAACUUAUCUUGGAUGUCUAUCAACUAAUUUUUUGCAGAAAUCCUGCGAACUUGUGGCUCGCUACACUGAGUUGGAGAACAAACAGAUCGAGCUGAACCUUGACUUGAAGCUUGCUCAGGAGAACUUGCAGAAGGCGAGGGACGAAGCAAAAGGUAUGGCUGGUGAGCUUUUGUUGACCGUCCUUUCUUUCUGGCCGUCCUCGAUGUUGAUCUCACUUGCUGUUUCACAGACAAAAUGGAAGAGGCUCUGAAGAAGAAGGAUCAAGACCUUGCCGAAGCGCAGAAGGAGGCCCUGAACAAAACGAAGCUUGCUGAAGAAAAACUGGCUUCAGUCGGUACUCUUGAAAAGGAAAACUCCAGGCUGAAAACUGCUCUCGACGCGGCUAAUCAAGAGGUCAGCCGUCUGAAGAAUGACAAGAUAGCUCUGAAUGACAAGGCAAGUGAACUGGCGGGGAAGAGGAACGAUCUGGAGGCUUAUCUCGGUGGACUCGCCAAGAAGCUGUUCGUCAUGCUAGAGGGUAAUUACUCCGGCCCGACUGACUUGUAGUUACCAAACCUGCGUAGAGCCACUGACUUAUCCUUGAAUUGUGUUUAUAGAAUUCUGCCAGAACUUCGAAGAGGAGACCAGUCGAGUGGAGACAAACUUGGACCCCAUCAAUUCUCUAGUGAAGGACGAGGCUGCUAUGAACGUGCUCCGUCUGGAAUCUCGUGUUGCCGGCGUUGUUGACUAUCUUGCUCGGUUGAAGGUUGCGGCAUCGCGGAUCGACGUGUCGCUCUGGCCUAGGACAACGCUUCAGAAUGACCUCGAGUCCCUGAUGACUCGACUGAAUGAAGUCCCAGGUCGAGUGGCGGAAUGGAAGAAAUCUUCUGCUAGAUGUGGCGCUGACGUUGCUCUGUCUCUGGUCCGUGUCCACUGCAAGGAGGCGUGAGAAGAAAAGUUGGCCACCAUCCAAGUUGCCAAUACCAGGAAGCACAACUUUCAAGACUUCAUGGAGACUUUCAUUGCAGCUGCCACUCGCAUUGCAGACGGGAUCGACUUGGAUGAGUUCGUCGCCCCUUCCAGUCCUCCGCCUGAGGAAUAAAAACUUUUAUGCUUCACUUUAAAUUUGCCUCGGAAUGCCGAGUGGAUUUUGUAACCGUUGAACUCUGUCGAGCUGGAGGCUCGAGUACUUUGAUCUGCGGUCUAGGACCUUUGGAUCUUAUCUGAACUUGAUUUAUCGUUGAAUAUCUUCAUGAAUUAUCUGUCGAGUGGAACUUGUUCUUCACUCGUAAUAACUUUGUAUUUGUGGUGCAGCUCCGAAGGAGAAGGUAGCAGUCGAUUUGCACCUCGUCGUCCUUGCGGAUUGGGAUGUGUUCCGUACUUAGGCGAGCACUGGGCUGCAGCUAUGCCCCCGAGUGGAAGGUCUGCUCUCCACUCGGUAGGAUUUUAAAAACUUAGGUGAGUACUGGACUGCAGCUAAGCCCCCGAGUGGGGGGUCUUCUCUCCACUCGGUAGGAUUUUUUCAAACUUAGGUGAGUACUGGACUGCAGCUAAGCCCCCGAGUGGGAGGUCUGCUCUCCACUCGGUAGGAUUUUUUCAAACUUAGGCGAGUACUGGACUGCAGCUAAGCCCCCGAGUGGGAGGUCUGCUCUCCACUUGGUAGGAUUUUUUCAAACUUAGGCGAGUACUNNNNNNNNNNNNNNNNNNNNNNNNNNNNNNNNNNNNNNNNNNNNNNNNNNNNNNNNNNNNNNNNNNNNNNNNNNNNNNNNNNNNNNNNNNNNNNNNNNNNNNNNNNNNNNNNNNNNNNNNNNNNNNNNNNNNNNNNNNNNNNNNNNNNNNNNNNNNNNNNNNNNNNNNNNNNNNNNNNNNNNNNNNNNNNNNNNNNNNNNNNNNNNNNNNNNNNNNNNNNNNNNNNNNNNNNNNNNNNNNNNNNNNNNNNNNNNNNNNNNNNNNNNNNNNNNNNNNNNNNNNNNNNNNNNNNNNNNNNNNNNNNNNNNNNNNNNNNNNNNNNNNNNNNNNNNNNNNNNNNNNNNNNNNNNNNNNNNNNNNNNNNNNNNNNNNNNNNNNNNNNNNNNNNNNNNNNNNNNNNNNNNNNNNNNNNNNNNNNNNNNNNNNNNNNNNNNNNNNNNNNNNNNNNNNNNNNNNNNNNNNNNNNNNNNNNNNNNNNNNNNNNNNNNNNNNNNNNNNNNNNNNNNNNNNNNNNNNNNNNNNNNNNNNNNNNNNNNNNNNNNNNNNNNNNNNNNNNNNNNNNNNNNNNNNNNCACUUAGGCAAGCACUAGGCUGCAGCUAAGCCUCCGAAUGGGAGUCUGGCUCGCCACUCGGUAGGAUUUUUAAACACUUAGGCGAGCACUGGGCUGCAGCUAAGCCUCCGAGUGGGAGCCUGGCUCACCACUCGGUAGGAUUUUUAAACACUUAGGCGAGCACUGGGCUGCAGCUAAGCCUCCAAGUGGGAGUCUGGCUCACCACUCGGUAGGAUUUUUAAACACUUAGGCGUGCACUGGGCUGCAGCUAAGCCUUCGAGUGGGAGUCUGGCUCACCACUCGGUAGGAUUUUUAAACACUUAGGCGAGCAGUGGGCUGCAGCUAAGCCUCCGAGUGGGAGUCUGGCUCACCACUUGGUAGGAUUUUUUUACAAACUUAGGCGAAACGGAUUCGCAGCUAAGCCACCCACUGGGGGAUUUCACACGCAAACAAAAGUGACAACAAUUAUAGGAAAAAUUGUAACACUCUUGUCUUUGAUAAAUAGACUACAAAAGUUUUUCUUAUUACAUCUCAUCCGAGUGAGAAUUCAAGUGUAAAAGGGGCGGAGCAGUUCUGCAUUCCAAGCUCGUGGCUCAUCGAUCUGGCGAUCGACAUUGUAAAGGUGAUACGCUCCAUUGUGGAGGACUCUGGUGACGAUGAAGGGACCUUCCCAAGUAGGAGCGAGCUUGUGUGGUUUCUGUUGAUCCACUCAGAGGACCAAAUCCCCUUCUUGGAAGGCUCGACUCUUCACAUUUCUGGCAUGGAAUCGAUGCAAGUCUUGCUGAUAAAUGGUCGAUCGGAUCAUAGCCAUUUCUCUUUCUUCUUCCAGGAGGUCGACUGCGUCUUGCCAGGCUUGUUCUGCUUCAUCUUCAGUAUAAAGCUCGACUCGGGGUGCAUUGUGAAGUAGAUCACUCGGCAGGACUGCUUCCGCUCCGUAAACCAGAAAGAACGGAGUUCUUCCAGUCGACCAAUUCGGGGUGGUCCUCAAUCCCCACAGAACUGACGGAAGCUCGUCGACCCAAGCGCCUGUUGCGCGCUUGAGAUCACGCAUCAGCUGAGGCUUUAGUCCUUUGAGAAUCAGACCAUUUGCCCUUUCUGCUUGUCCAUUCAAAUAGGGGUGGGCGACCGAUGCGUAGUCGACUCGUGUGCCUUGAGAGGCGCAAAAAGCUCUGAACUUGUCUGAAUCAAAGUUUGACCCAUUGUCGGUGAUGAUGCUAUGCGGGACUCCAUAUCUGAAUGUUAACUCCCUGACGAAACUGAUAGCAGUGCAAGCAUCAAGAUUCUUGAUAGGCUUAGCUUCAAUCCAUUUGGUAAACUUAUCGACUGCCACAAGCACAUGUGUGAAACCUCUCCUGACUGUUCUCAAUGGGCCAACCAUGUCCAGUCCCCAAACAGCGAAGGGCUAGACGAGUGGAAUGGUCUUCAGGGCUGAUGCAGGCUUGUGCGACAUGUUGGAGUAGAACUGGCACCCUUCACACUUGUCGACUAUCUCUUUUGCCAUUUCAUUCGCUCUUGGCCAGUAAAAUCCCGCUUGGUAUGCUUUAGCCGCAAUGGUCCGAGAGGACGCAUGAUGACCACAGGUCCCCGAGUGGAUAUCAUCAAGGAUUAUCUGACCUUCUUCUGGUGUUAUACACUUCUGGCCGACUCCAGUCGCGCUUUCUCUAUACAACUGUCCCUUUAUGACUGUAAAGGCCUUGGAUCGACGGACGAUCUGUCGAGCCUCUUCUUUGUCCUCCGGGAGUUCCUUUCUCAGGAUAUACGCAAUGUAUGGUAUCGUCCAGUCGGGGGUGAUUGCCAAAACUUCCAUGAUUAGGUCGACCACUGCCGGAAUUUCAACUUCAGUCGGAUCUGUGGCACUCUUUGGCUGCGGGGCUUCAUCUGUAAAAGGAUCUUCUUGGACUGAUGGCGAGUCGAUGUGUUCCAAAAACACAUUGCUGGGGAUGGCUUGUCUCUUGGAGCCUAUCUUUGCCAAAUCAUCAGCCGCUUGAUUUUUCAGUCGGGGGAUGUGAUGAAGCUCUAACCCCUCGAAUUUCUUCUCUAACUUUCUCACGGCAUUGCAAUAACCAGUCAUAGCUGGACUUCUGACGUACCACUCCUUCAUCACCUGAUUAACCACCAAAUCUGAGUCGCCAUAGACCAUGAGGCGACGGACGCCGAGUGAAAUGGCCAUGCGCAACCCAUACAAAAGUGCUUCAUAUUCUACUUCGUUAUUGGAGGAAUCGAAGUGAAUCUGGAGAACAUAUCUGAGCUUAUCUCCUCGGGGGGAAACCAAUACUACCCCAGCACCGGGUCUAUUCUCAUCAUAUCAAUAUCCAUCACUUUAAUCUUGCUUUGCUUUUUUACUUUGCCUUUGCUUUUUACUUUGCAUCUCUAUACCAAAAAUACCAAAAAUAUUAUAUCUAUCAGAUCUCACUCUCGUAAGUGACCGCGAAGGGAUUGACAACCCCUAAUCGCAUUGGUUGCGAGUAGCUAUCGUUUUGUGCAGGUACGAGGGACUUGAGCGUGGCCUCCUACUGGAUUGAUACCUUGGUUCUCAAAAACGGAGGGAAAUACUUACGCUACUCUGCUACAUCAUCCCUUCCUCUUCAGGGAAAUCCAACGCAAGCUCAAGAGGUAGCAUGCAACCAUAGGACUGAACGGCAAACUCAAAGGGGAACUCCUUGCUGAAGUCCAUAUCUAGUAGGCUCACCCCUCGGAUCGCCAUUGGAGUCUCCUCGAGUGAACGAGUGUGUAGGCGGCGGCAGCAGUUCGUUUUCCAGCUCUUGGGGAACUGGAUUCAACAGUAAGCUGAGUGUAUACAGGCGACAACAGUUACUACCCCUCCCUCGUCCGCUGCACGCCCGGCAGAAGAUGCACCCUCGGCCACACGUCGGUUCACAAGCGGGUCUGUAUUGGUACUGUAAUAACAGGAGUUAGUGGUCACUUUACUUAAAUUUAAUUAGCUUUAAUAGAAAUUUGUACUUAAAACAAGCAAUGCAUUCGCUCGUUCUAUCAGUGCCACAGGAUCAACAUGCACAACAAUUAGAAUUAUUAUUCUCAGAACACACACGAUCAUCACAUUUGUCACACUUCCAUAAAAGAUAAUACUACCAAGUUUGAACUGUUUGUUAUGUUUGUUGUCCUCUGCAUCAUCAUGCCGUGUUUCCCAGCUUACAAGAUUCAGAACCAACAAAUAAGAUCCAAAUAAUAAGUACAACAAAGAUGCCUACACAUCUCAUUGAUUCCCAGCUUGCAAGAUUCAGAACCAACAAAUAAGAUCCAAAUAAUAAGUACAACAAAGAUGCCUACACAUCUCACUGAUUCCUAGCUUGCAAGAUUCAGAACCAACCAAUUAGAGCCUUUUGAUAAAGUGAAUAUCGGGAUUAAAUCCAACUUGGCUAGCCAUGUCAUACAAUCGAAGAACUUGACGAAUGCUCUUGACCGUCACAACAUCUGUAGUUGAGUAUUCCUGUUUGCACAACAUGAUUGCAUAGCACAAACAAUGAGACAGGAGUGCAUGAUUUCGCUUUAAUAGCGGCCUCCUUGAACUCAACCUCCAGCUCUACUUGGAUGAGGUCUGCCUGGAGUUCCAUGAUUCAAUUCAUGCGCCUUUUUCUGCAGUUCACCUGAAAUGAAGCGAAGAUUGCAUCAUUCAGCUAGCAAGAAGUACUUGCUCUUGUGAGCUGGCAGGUUCUUCUUUAGUAGUUGCACUAAAAUUGAGGAACAUUAAGGUUGGCUGUCCGGCUCAUGUAAGGUGCAUCUAUAAUUUUCUUAUCCUUUUGUGCAGUUCCACUAAAAUAAAGUGCCAUUGUGGUGACAGUGACGGCUCCAUCUUGCAAAGGCUAAUAAAAUGUUGCACGAGAUUACUAACAGAACCUGACGGAGAUUUUGGAAACUCCAAUCACCAUUUUGUGCAGUUCCACCAAAAUUGAGAGAUGUUGCCCAUGUGACAUUCUAGUUGAACUGCACAAGACACUCAUUCCAAAAAAAGUGUUUUCUGCAGUUCACCAAAAGGUCACAAUAGCAACGAGGUGAAAUGGAUAUCCCUAUCUGCACAAAAAGAUAGAAAGUAAACAGUUGCUGGUCAAUAAGAAUAUACGAAACAUAUACAAAAUGAAAAGAAGCAUCUUAAUUAUGUUCAUGGCAAUCACGCAAGGACAAUAGAAAUUUUAAAAUGUCAGCGAUGCUUCAUGUUACCAGAAGCAUUGCGAUCAACAAUGAGAUUCCUCAAAUAUGGGAUUACUUUAAUGGUGGCAUUGCUUGUUUACCAGACAUAGUAAAUCAACAACAGCUAAAGAGUUGGUUUAAGGGCAUGGGACCGUGGGGACACCAGGACACUCAGCAGCAUAAAGGAGCAACUUACUUAUCAUACUGGGGAAAAUAGCAGGAGUGCCAUUGUACUAUGUGAGGGCAGCAAAUCUAAUCCUAGAGACCUUUUACUAUGUGAGGGCAGCAAAUCUAAUCCUGGAGACCUUUUACUAUGUGAGGGCAGCAAAUCUAAUCCUGAGACCUUUUACUAUGUGAGGGCAGCAAAUCUAAUCCUGGAGACCUUUUACUAUGUGAUGGCAGCAAAUCUAAUCCUGGACAUACUCUGUUGACUUGUCCACCAGCCGCCACUUUCUAUCCUUUUUUCAACCAAUAAUAGAUCUGUUCCUUAUCCAGUUUAUACUGUGUUUUCCCAUUAUUUCCCUUUUCAACCAAGAGACCGGUUGGGUAUCCGGUCUCUACUACUUUUACCAUAUGAUUUCCUCUUUGAAUCAAGUCCUAGAUUCAUGCUACAACUUUCCCCCCUUUCUAUGUUGUUUGAACAAAGCCCUAGAUUCGAAUGCAUGAAGUAGCUUUACCUCUAAUAAUACUAAAAAUUUGUCGCUGAUGGGAGUAGAAAAAGAUGCACAUGCAGACACAUGGGGAGCUGGGGCAGUAGAGCAAGGCCGCUUUCGAAGAACUUAUACCUGAGGGUCGCCGGGAUGUCGGCAUCGGCAGGUCGGAUCUGCGGACAAUACGGCAGGGAGGAAGAAGGGUCGGAGGACCUCUCGAGCCGGCCAUGUGUCGGAGAGAACGUCACGGGCAGAGGAUCGGGCCCCUCCGGCAGCUGUGGGUUUCCUCCCUCGGCGGCGAUGACCGCGUGAACGUUGCACCUUUUAGUCCUCUACACACACCGGCUGAAGGGAUCCAACCGGAUCUGUGACCAGCGGUAAGCAGAGAGAAAAUGUCGCUAUCGCUGUCUUGUUUAUAUCUGGAGAGGAUGAGAGAAUGAAGAGAGCAACCCUAGUAAAGCAAGCGCUCAGGCCCCUGCGUCCAUAUAUAGUGGAGUGAUUAUCUUUUUUCUCUCCACAACAAGCAUUUCAAUUUGUGUACGUGGCAUUAAAGAAAAGAUACUCUCUAUUUAAGGUGACUACUGUACGACUCCUACUUACUACUAGUGGUACUACAGUAUUGUUCACUUGUGCUCCCCGCCCCUCCAUUCAUUCAACAACCCCACGGGUGAAUAAACAUACAGUAAGUACUGUAUUUAUAUAGAACGAACAAGCUUGAACUGUUUCACGUAGUUAAAAGUUGAGGGUGGGGCUUUUCCCGGGCAGUACGCGCGGCAGUUUUCGGGUAGGGCUAGAAGACUAUUUUUUUUAAACUUCGAGAUGGCCACAUAGCAUGGAGCCGACCCCAACGAUUUUAAGCUUAUAGGCACGGUACACGCUAUCCUAGACUACUAUACACAUGAAACUGCCACACGAGCGUCCGGGCUGCGCUUGGCUCUUCGCCUCUUCGGGAAGUUGAACAAUGAUGGAAUACUACUGCACUGGAGGAGUACUACAGUACGCUUCUGGCCAUCUAACACCGAUUGAACUGCUGCAUGUCCACCGUGUGCGGGAGGGAGAGCGUGUAGCGAAAGCUUCUCCUAGUCUUGCCAGCCACCACGCUCAUGGGCGAGGGAGGGACGCUCCUGCCUUUGCGUGUAUGACAGGUGGGCCCUACAGGUGUGUGGCCAACCUGUCAUACAGCCAAAGGCAUGUGCAGUUAAGUCCGCGCAGGAGAGGAUAAUCAAACUUCUCGUUGAUGUACGAGUUGACGCGACACAUCAAAGCACUGCACUCGAUAUAUUUCAAUAAUUUGCGUGUGUGACUCCCAGAUGCAGAGGCCGGGGGUCAUCAUCCUCCUUUUCAAGAAAAAAUAGUUGCGUGUGUGAGAGGACGAGUGUGUGCAUGCACCUCUUCUCUUCCUGUAUAACGUACUACUAAACUCAGAGUACAAGUUUUUAUGGGUGGCACGAUGGUGCGUGCGAGAAGUCAUGAGAGAUAGGUUUAAUGCAUUAAUUGCAAUGCAUGCAUGCAUAAAGUACAUGCAUUGGUCAAUUUUCUCUUAAUACUUCCAUGCAAUGAUUUAAUGCACCUUGGAAUCUGAACAUGUGUUGGGGACAACCAAAUUGAGCCUUAUAAAAUGGAAAAACUAAAAUUUUGAGAUAAGCCCUAUAAAACCGGAAAGGAGGGAGUAGAAAAAGAAGUACUCCAUCCGGGAAUAGUGCCGCACUUCGAAACUACAACCGUCAAUAAAUUUUGAGCUUGCGUCUCGUCACAUUCCAAAUUAAUCCACGCUAUAUUGAACUGCAAACCUAUUCACACCAAUCACAACCUAAACGGUUUCCCACUUAGGAGCGUAUUAGUACUCCGUUAUAAAUACUAGUAUGCCAAGAUGACUGCACAUUCCUCCUCAACUCAUCAUCCACAAAAACAAACAAGUCAUUCAACAUCCUUCCCUUGCGUCUGCCAUGGCCAGCGUGAGUUCUGGGUCGAGAGAUUGCCACCAGGGAGAGGCGAGCAUGGAAGCAGAAGCAUGAGAGAUGUCCCGCCUCGCUGCGAGAGCAGCCGACAUGUCCCGCCGCGCGGAAGUAGCAGCACAGAGGUCCCGCCGUGCCGCUGAAGCAGCACGGAGGUCCCGCCGCGCCGUCAAUGCAGCAGACUGGUCCGGCCGCGCUGCGGAAGUAGCAGAGAUGUCCCGCCGCGCCACGAAUGCAGUAGAGAUGACCCGCUGCACCGCGGCGGCCUGGGAAAAUUUCUCGCGGGCACGUGAUGACUGUUACAGGCGCAUGCAUGCGAUCGUCCAUAGCCAUACGGAUCAGAUCUCCCACUCGGCAAGGUUGCAGGAUGACAUGAUAGCCUCGUUUGAACAGGCUACCGGCGUCAUCCGGCAACUAAGGGAGGGCAAUGAGAGGCUCCGGGCCGAGCGCGACCUGCUGAGGGAGAAGAUCGUCCGAAGUGCAGACCUGCAGGAGGAGACUAGUGCCUUGUUGAAGAAACUUAUGGACGAGAAUAUCAUGCUCCGCAACGAGCGCCAAAGGCUGGUGGAGGAAUCCAUGGAUGUUCUCAAGCAGCAUCUUGAGGACAUGAAAGAGCUCAUUCCCGCUCGCCGCGGAGACUAGUUUCCUGGUUUCUUUUGAUGUAAUAAUCGGUUUAGGAUGUGGAUUGUGUCGUCGGUUGUGAAAUGUUGGCUUCUAGCGCGGAUGUUUGGCCUUUGUUGGCCUCUUGGGAUGUUGAGAUUUCAAUCUGGUAGCUUUUAGCCCUUCGUGUUAGGAUGGAGUUGUGCUGAACUUCUUGUGAAUUGUGGUUGUUUUCAGUAAUGAAAAUCGGAAGGGGGCAAGCCCUUCUUUGAUAAAAAAAAUAUAAUCGUCCUUAUAUAUUCAUCAAUCUUGCUAUAAGUUGCAGUAGAUGCUAUAUAGGUCCGUCGGAUCUUACAUCAAGAUCCGUGCUUUCAGAUUUUCUUUUUUCUCUCUUAAAUCUCAGUCGAGUGAGACAUAGCCACGCCAUUAAACAGAGGCUCGGGCGCCAUUAAUGGAGACCUUGGGAGAGAGGUGGACGGCAGAUGGAGGUCAAAGGGCUCUCCUCCCGAUAAGCACGCGCAGGGGUCUGAUCGCACACCUCUCGUACUCAAAUAGCUACCCUGCAUGUCACCUCCUAGCUAAUAAAAAAGGGGACGCAUGGCGGCACAUAAAUGGUACUAGUAAGUAGAACGCCAGCGGUUUCAAUAAUACUUGUGUUUCCGAUUGUAACAUGACAACACUUCUUCCAAAAUGACUUUGUUGAUUGUUAAUGUGUGCGCCUUCGCAAAUCGGACUACAAAUUUACCACAACAUGUUGGUGCCAUGUCAUGGCACCAAGCCAAGUUUCAUUAUUUUCAUGCGUGUUUUGGAUUUACAGGAAUUAAAAAACUAAGUUUCUCAAUGUUUCCAACCCAGCCACGACGCCCAGAAUUUUGAAUUUCAUUCCCAUUUCUUGCAUGGAACCUAGAAAUUUACCCGAGGACACACAUGUGAUUUUUCAACCAAGUUUGGUGCACUGGAACAUGUGCUUGUAUUUCAAAUUUGAAUUUUGCACACAAAGGUGACACGUUCCCUCCCAGAACCACGAGCCUUCUUGAGAGAAGCUCCGAUUUGCAAGAAGCUUAUACCAAAAUUUGUUCCUAUUCGGCCAAUUUUUUUACCACGGCAUGGUACUACCAUGACAUGACACCAUGCCAAGUUUCAUGAUUUUAAAACCAAGUUUCUCAAUGUUAUCGACCGAGCCACGAUGCCCAGAUGUGUGAAUUUUAUUCUCAUUUUUCACUAGUAGAAAAUAGGGCUUUGGUCCAGGCCGGGUAACCCCAUUAGUCCCAGUUCAGUCCAGAACCGGGACCAAUGGGGGCAUUGGUCCCGGUUCGUGAGCCCAGGGGGCCGGCCGGGCCACGUGGGCCAUUGGUCCCGGUUCGUCUGGACCUUUUGGUCCCGGUUGGUGGGACGAACCGGGACCAAUGGGCCUCACUCCUGGCCCACCACCAUUGGUCCCGGUUGGUGGCUUGAACCGGGACCAAAGGCUCCCCUUUAGUCCCGGUUCAUGCCACCAACCGGGACCAAUGAGGUGCCUAUAUAUACCCGCUCGCGCAAGAGCAGAGCACAGUGCUCUGUUUUUUCUGGUCGAGGGGGAGAGGGCUUUGUGGUGCUCUAGCUCACCUCCUAUGCACAUGAGGUGUUCGAUGGAAUGCCCGAGCCACACUACUUAAGCUUUAUCCUCUCGAAGCUCGACCUCCAAGCUCCAUUUUCCUCGAGAUUUGUCUAGAUUUAGCGGUCCGUCACGCCCCGUCCCGUCUUCACCGCCGUCGAUCACCCGCGCCGAUCUCAUCACCGACACCACCGUGGUGAGCCUCUUGUUCUUAUCUUCUUUCUGAAAGGAAAAAUAUUCUUACUUGUAUGUUUAGAUAGAUACUUGUAUCAUUUUCUUACAUUUAUUAUUGCAUCUUAUAUAGUGCGAUGGUUUUGGUAUCCGCCCCCGUCGGCCCUCGUCCUGUCUAUGAUUCGGAUGUGGUAUGUAUAUUAUCUUUAUAACUAUUGGUUCAUUUAUUGUUUAUGAAAAUUAUGCCGACCAACGUGACAUAGAUUUUAUUUAUCUAGGAUGUAUGUGAAUCGGAAAUGCCAACCGACCCUAUUGUCGAGAGGUUAAAUUUAGUUGAAGAAGAAAACAAUUUGUUGAAGGAAAAAAUAAAAAAAAAUUGAGGAGGAGAAGAUGAUAUUGGAGUUGCAUGUUGCGGAUGUCGUCGAUGAUCACAAGAUCAAGAUGGAUGCAAUGCGCUUGAAGAUUAGAAAGAUUAGAAAAUAUGCCAUUCAUACCGAGGCUUGGUAUCAUUAUGCCGUUGGAUCAAUUGUUACCUUGGUUGCGAUUAUGAUCGCAUUUGUUUUCGCAUUGAAAUGUUUUACAUAGUUUCAAUGUAUGGUUUAAUUAAUUAGAUGCUCUGGAGAGCUAUAUGUUGUUAGAUGAGAACUAUGUAUGCACUUUGGUUUUAAUGUGAUGAUGAACUUCUAUUAAUUUGGACACUUAAUUAUAUAUAAUGCAUGUAGAUGAACCGGCAAUGGAUGUACGGUGCCAGACACACCCGCGAGUACAUUAAGGGCGUGCAUGAGUUUCUCGAUGCAGCUGAGGCAAACAAGUAGAAUGGUUUUAUGUGUUGUCCAUGCACUGAAUGUGGGAAUACAAGGUCUUACUCUAACCGAAAAAUCCUUCACUCCCACCUGCUUUACAAGGGUUUCAUGCCACACUAUAAUGUUUGGACGAGGCACGGAGAAAUAGGGGUUAUGAUGGAAGACGGCGAAGAAGAAGAGUACGGUGACAACUAUGUGCCCCCUGAAUACGGUGAUGCUGCAACGGGGGGAUCUGGUGAAGAUCAAGAGGAACCAGACGAUGUGCCCAAUGAUGCUGCCACGGGUGAAGCUGCUGAAGAUCAAGAGGAACCAGACGAUGUGCCCGAUGAUGAUGAUCUCCGCCGGGUCAUUAUCGAUGCAAGGACGCAAUGCAUUAGUCAAAAGGAGAAGCUGAAGUUCGAUCGCAUGUUAGAGGAUCACAAAAAAGGGUUAUACCCCAAUUGCGAAGAUGGCAACACAAAGCUCGGUACCGUACUGGAAUUGCUGCAUUGGAAGGCAGAGAAUGCUGUGGCUGACAAAGGAUUUGAGAAGCUACUGAAAAUAUUGAAGAAGAAGCUUCCAAAGGAAAACGAAUUGCCCGACAGUACAUACGCAGCAAAGAAGGUCGUAUGCCCUCUAGGAUUGGAGGUGGAGAAGAUACAUGCAUGCCCUAAUGACUGCAUCCUCUACCGCGGUGCAUACAAGGAUCUGAACGCAUGCCCGGUAUGUGGUGCAUUGCGGUAUAAGAUCAGACGAGAUGACCCUGGUGAUGUUGACGGCGAGCCCCUCAGGAAGAGGGUUCCUGCGAAGGUGAUGUGGUAUGCUCCUAUAAUACCACGGUUGAAACGUCUGUUCAGAAACGAAGAGCAUGCCAAGUUGAUGCGAUGGCACAGUGAGAACCGAAAGAAAGAUGGGAAGUUGAGAGCACCCGAUGACGGGUCGCAGUGGAGAAAAAUCGAGAGAAAGUACUGGGAUGAGUUUGCAAAGGACCCAAGGAAUGUAUGGUUUGCUUUAAGCGCGGAUGGCAUUAAUCCUUUCGGGGAGCAGAGCAGCAAUCACAACACCUGGCCCGUGACUCUAUGUAUGUAUAACCUUCCUCCUUGGAUGUGCAUGAAGCGGAAGUUCAUUAUGAUGCCAGUUCUCAUCCAAGGCCCUAAGCAACCCGGCAACGAAAUUGAUGUGUACCUAAGGCCAUUAGUUGAAGAACUUUUACAGCUGUGGAAUGGAAACGGUGUACGUACGUGGGAUGAGCACACACAGGAGGAAUUUAACCUUAAGGCGUUGCUGUUCGUGACCAUCAACGAUUGGCCCGCUCUCAGUAACCUUUCAGGACAGACAAACAAAGGAUACCACGCAUGCACGCACUGUUUAGAUGACACUGAAAGUAUAUACCUGGACAAAUGCAGGAAGAAUGUGUACCUGGGCCAUCGUCAAUUUCUUCCGACCAACCAUCAAUGUCGAAAGAAAGGCAAGCAUUUCAAAGGCGAGGCAGAUCACCGGAAGAAGCCCGCCAUGCGCACCGGUGAUCACGUGCUUGCUAUGGUCAAUGAUUUACACUACGUAAUCUUUGGAAAGGGUCCCGGUGGACUAGCUGUUCCGAAUGACGCUGAGGGACACGCACCCAUGUGGAAGAAGAAAUCUAUAUUUUGGGACCUACCCUACUAGAAAGACCUAGAGGUCCGCUCCUCAAUCGACGUGAUGCACAUGAUGAAGAACCUUUGCGUGAACCUCUAUUCUUUCUUCUCCUCUUUUUAUUCUUAUUCUUCCUCUUCUUUUUUUUUAUCAGGAACGAGGGCAUGUUGAGAGUGUCGUCGAGCGGUCGAGGGUCGGGAAACUAGGGCUUACCUGAAGAAGGAGAAGAAGAGAAGAGGAAGAAGAGGAGAAAAAAAAUAAAAGGAAAAAAGAGGAAGAAGAAGAAAAAAAGAGGAGAAGAAGAAGGAAUAGAGGAGAAGACUUUGUCAGUUCUUCUUCUCCUCUACCUAUUCCUUUCUUCUUCUCCUCUUUCUUCUUCUUCUUCUUCUUCUUCUUAAUUUUUAUCGGGGGUUCAAGGGUUCGAGUGGUCGAGGAUCGCCGAGGGGUCGAGAGAGGUUUCCUAGUGUCAAAGUAUUGAAGAAAUCCAUGCCUUCAUCAUUAGCCGGAAGUAACCAGGGCAUGUUGGUACGAAGUUCUGCAAAGUUGUUCUGGAAUGGAGUCCCGGAUAGAAUAAUUCGCCUUUUGGUACGAAUUCAGCAAAGGCCUUCCAAAUAGCGAUAUUCGGAAGGCUCUUGCUGAACUUUGUACCAAAAAGCGAAUUAUCCUAUCUGGGACUCCAUUCCAGAACGACUUUGAAGAGCUUCGUACCAUCAUGCACAUGUUACUUUCGCCUAAUGAUGAAGACAUGGUUUUGUUGAAUCCUUUGACACUACGCAACCUCCCGACGCCUCGGCGAUCCUCUCGAACAUGAGAGGAAGUAGAGGGUCGUCUAGGGGUCGAGGGUUCCAGGGUCGUCGAGGGUUCGAGGGGUUGAGGAUCGCCGAGGGGUCGAGAGAGGUUUCCUAGUGUCAAAGUAUUGAAGAAAUCCAUGCCUUCAUCAUUAGCCGGAAGUAACCAGGGCAUGUUCGUACGAAGUUCUGCAAAGUUGUUCUAGAAUGGAGUCCCGGAUACAAUAAUCCGCCUUUUGAUACGAAUUCAGCAAAGGCCUUCCAAAUAGCGAUAUUCGGAAGGCUCUUGCUCAACUUUGUACCAAAAAGCGAAUUAUCCUAUCUGGGAUUCCGUUCUAGAACAACUUUGAAGAGCUUCAUACCAUCAUGCACAUGUUACUUUCGCCUAAUGAUGAAGACAUGGUUUUGUUGAAUCCUUUGACACUACGCAACCUCCCGACCCCUCGGCGAUCCUCUCGAACAUGAGAGGAAGAAGAGGAUAAAAAAGAAGAGGAAGAAGAAAAAAAAAGAGGAGAAGAAAGAAUAUAGGAGUUCUUUCCAGACAGAGAGAACGACGAGAUCACAAUGGCCCUCGGGAAUCCUGAGCACCGUGGACGGACACGAGGCAUGCCAGGCUCCAUUCCGUGGAAGGUUGGGUUUCCGGACGCAGGCAGUUACAAAUCCCAUGAGAGGAGGAAAAAAGUGCAGCAGACCCAAAUGCAGGCGCUGCAAGCAAGGGUAGACGCGAUAGAGGAACGAGAAGCAAAUUGCAGCAAACGUACUGCCGAAGCCUCCCCCGAAGCUACCCCGCCAUCUCAGUGCAGAAGCAAUGUGGCUUCCACUGAGCGGCUUCAGCCGGAGCAUGCCUUGACGGCUCCUGCCAGCUAUCCCGUGGAUGCUAUAACGGAGUCUCAAAAUUUCCACCUUAUGACGCAAUGGAUGAAUUUGAAGGUCAAGGCGGUUUUUGGCUCUGUUUAUCCUACUGAACCCGGCGCAACUUUUCAUUGCCGGCCGAUUCCAGAAGGAUAUGCUAGGGUGAUGGUGCAUGAGAUAAUGGAGGGAUUUGAGGACCUUCAGCUUGACCACCCUACCGGUGAAGGGGAGACUCGGCUGGGGUCUGCUCUGAAGACUCCAUGCCUAUGGCGGAAGGAGCUCAUCAACCUUCCGAACUGGACGCCUCCGCCUCCUCCUCCUCCUCCGGCAAGUCAGGGCACUCCGCCUCCUCCACCGCCUCCUCCUCCGGCGAGUGACGAUCAGGGCCCUCGGCCAACUCCUUCUCCGGCGCGUGGCGGCACUCCGCCUCCUUCUCCGCCUGCGCCGACGCGCCCGAGCAGCCAGCCUCCUCCUUCUCUGCCUCGUCAGCAAGGGCGGAAGAGACCUGCCGCCGCUCCAGCUGCUCCGGCGCGUCGUAGUCCUUCUCCUCCGCCUCUUAAGGAAGUAAAGAAGACAACCGCUCCGUCUGCUCGGUCGGCGUCUAGCAGUACAACCAGAGGCAGGAGGACAUACAGAUUCGGUCCUUCUCUGAAGACUCCAGAGAAGUUACCAUAUGAGAGGACCCCGAGGAGAACGCCAAGAUCGCGCGAACCGAAGUGGAUGACUGGUUUCAAGGGUUGAGAGCAAAGAGACAUCCACCUCCGGAGGAGAAGGUAGAUCCGGUGAAAGUGAAGCGCACUCUGGCUGCCCUGACAAAACCACCAAAGUCUCCGCCGAAAGGAAACUAUGAGCGCAUUAUUGGAAAGGAAUUUGCCGAAGCGGAGCGGUCGGGAAGUACUGUCAGUGAUCAAAGGCUGAAAGAACGACGAGCUGGGAAACAAAUUGCCCAGCUCGGCGAACAAGCGAAGCAAUCGUGCCCCCCGCUCAAGGUGCCUAGCCACAAUGUCGCUAAUGAUCCGAGGAUGGUGCCCGGUUAUAGCAAUCUUGCAGAUUACCUGCCCGACGAAGUACAUUAUGAACCCAUGGACAUGCAGAUACAAAGAUACGAGUACGGGAAGCCUCUCGUCAAAGAUGAAAGAUCUCUAUCAACGAUGAUGCGAAGAUUGCAUGAUUGGUACUUGAAAAUCUGCAGAGACUCUGGGGGGAGGAGUACUUUGUAUGUGAAAGUUAAAAAGGAGCAUGACCUCGUUGGAAUUGAUCUAUUGCCUGUUCCAUUUGAGGAGUUCUAUCACUUUUUCAAUCAAUUGGCCCUCGGUAAAACAACGGUUGCCUGCUACUGUCUGUAAGUAGUACUACUUCUGUCAUUAAGUUUCUCUAUAUAGCUUAGCUCUUUCAUUGCGUGUAUUUAUAAUCAUCCUCACUAUAUUAUGCAGAUUGAAGAUCGCCGAAUUGAAGAAAAGACAAGUCGGUGAUAUUGGGUUCAUUAACACAUAUCUCAUAGAUGCAACUCAGGUUAAAUUUCAUGCCACAGCUACCGAGGCCAACUUGCUACGAUCGUUCGUAAUAAAUGAAAACAAAGAUAUAAUACUCUUUCCUUACAACUUCAAGUGAGUGUUACUGUCUUGUGCGUAUUCGGUUUCCCUUAUAUAUUAGUCAAGGUUAUAUUAAUGUAAUUGAUGAGUUAUGCAUGCGUGUGCAGUUUCCACUAUAUUCUCCUAGAGAUUAAGCUUGAGCAGGGACUAGUAACCGUCUUAGACUCAAGACGAAAAGAUCCCCAGGACUAUGCAGACAUGACUCAAAUACUCGAGAAGUAAGUUAAAUCGAUCAUUAUCCACCAUAUCAGCAACUUUGUUCAUUUCCUGAUAUAUCAAGUAAUUGUUUUCUUUGUCCGGCAGGGUUUGGAGAAAAUUCACCAGAAAAGCUCCGGGACUGCCGAAGGAGCUGCAAUUUAGACAUCCGAAAGUAAGUACUAUAGUAGCAUUUUAAGCGCAUCUACUAGCUUAGUCAUUCAAGUGCUAGUUUCAUCAAUACCAUUUGGCAUUCUUGCUUAUCAGUUUGAUUAACCUCUAUUUCUUGUAAAGUGGUUGUGGCAGGAACAAGGGAAUGAUUUCUGUGGAUACUAUGUUUGCGAGUCCAUCCGCCACACGACCUGUGAACGGGGCUACACUGAAGAACAAUAUGAAGUACGUAAAUAACAACGUUCACAAUUUUAUUUUAUUACCAUCAUUUGUGUUGAGUUUCAUUCAUUCAUAUAUAUAUGUAUUGACCCCCUUCUUUAAAUUAGAUGUUUCAGAAGCGGGAUGAACUCCUAGCACCAGCUCGCAUGCGAGCAAUUCAAGAGGAAUUGGCGGCAUUCUUUCUUGACCACGUGAUCCCUGAAGAUGGAGAAUUCUAUGUGGACCCUGAGUCCGUAUGAUUAUAUUUGUAAGAGAUAAUUAUUGUAUAUAUGUAGCUGGUAGUGUCAGAUAGAUAUACGAGAACUUGUUGUUCGACCAAUCUCUCAGAGAAGGAGAGGUGGUCGAUAUCACUUCUCUCUGUAUGCAUAUAUGUUCAUGACGAUCUUCUGUUUCCUUCGUUUGCUUACUAGCUAGCCAGCGUGUCUAGUCCUCUCUAUACAUAUGUAUAGUACGUAGCGUCGACCAAGCACGGACAUAAGAGAGGACACUUCUAUCUAUUAAUUAUAGCUAGCUAACACAAUAUAUGAAACACCUAAAUUAACCCCCCAAAACCCCCAAACCCCCCCCCCCUUCAAAANNNNNNNNNNNNNNNNNNNNNNNNNNNNNNNNNNNNNNNNNNNNNNNNNNNNNNNNNNNNNNNNNNNNNNNNNNNNNNNNNNNNNNNNNNNNNNNNNNNNNNNNNNNNNNNNNNNNNNNNNNNNNNNNNNNNNNNNNNNNNNNNNNNNNNNNNNNNNNNNNNNNNNNNNNNNNNNNNNNNNNNNNNNNNNNNNNNNNNNNNNNNNNNNNNNNNNNNNNNNNNNNNNNNNNNNNNNNNNNNNNNNNNNNAAAAAAAACAAAAACCCCAGCCACAGAAAUGCUGACGCGUGGAUGCCUAUUGGUCCCGGUUGGUGCCACCAACCGGGACCAAAGGGUCUCCUGCCUGGGCUCUGCGCACUGCCCACGUGGAGGCCCAUCAGUCCCGGUUCUGGAUUGAACCGGGACUAAAGGGUCGGGGCAUUAGUACCGACACUUUAGUCCCGGUUCAGGAACCGGGACUAAAGGCCCUUACGAACCGGGACUAUAGGCCCUUUUUCUACCAGUGUUUGCAUGGGACCUACUCCCUCCUUCCAUCCAUAUAGGGCCUAAUGUGUUUUUCAAGAUAGCCUUUGACUAUUGACAAGAUUAAUAGCACAUGAGAUGUAUACUAUGCGAAUUAUAUUAUUGGAAGCUCUUUUGACAUACAAAAUUGAAGGUAUGCUUUGUGUAAGUUGCAUGUCAUGUAUUAUUGCUCUAAUGUUUGGUCAAAGAUAGCCUCGAAAAACGCAUUAGGACCUAUAUGCAUGAGAGGAGUUGACUUCGAGAGAACGUGUUUGUUCGAGAGACACCGAGGAAGACUACUAUAUAUCGAUGGUGCAUGUAGGCGGGAAUUAAACUAAGGGAUGGUCUUAUUGGUUUCGGGGAUAUAGGGGAAGAGUGAGAGGCGGGGGGGGGGGCUAGCUAGAAGGAUAUUGUUAAGUGUGAUUGUGUGUUUUACCCAUCUAGGCGGAAGUGAUGUGCACAAAAGAGGAGAACGAUUUGAUGUGGCGUUAGGAUUGAGGGUAAUUAACUACGUAUGGAGACAUAGAGACCUUGAACGUGCAUGUGUGAGAGGUAUACAUGUAUAUGUGGGAUGUGUGUGUGUGCACGCGCAUGAUCGAGAUAAAAGAAAGAAGACAUAAGUCAUAAGAUCAACGACAUGGGAGAGACGGAUCGGUAUGACAAUAUGCAUGCAUGUGAGAAUGCAUGGAAGAAAUCCCGGCAAUUGAGCAUGUGUUUUUGUCUUUAAGAGAUAGUAGCGUGGGCUGGAGCAUGCAUCUAUGGCGAGCAGAGGGAGUGAGGUGCAACGAUUGUGCAAAAUAGACCAACCUAUAAAUGCAUAUGUAUGGAGAGACAUAUAUAGUGUGGGUGAUAGGAAGCAAGACUCUGUGCGAGAAAGAAAUGUUGAUGGAGAAACUACAGAUAGAUACAGAGAUGGAGAUGCUAGCUAGAGGGACAUCCGCUAGUUUGGGUGUUGGAUAUGACCGUCGGGUGGUUCAAAGGGUGAAGUUAUAUAUGUGUGUGAGAGGGCACUUGACUGCAUGUAGAGAGAAACAUAUGUAGUAUGCGUGAUAGGAAUCAAGAGUGAGGGCGAGAAAGAAGGUUGAUGGAGAAACAGAUAAAUAGAAAGAUAAAGAUGCUAGCUAGUGUGCGUUAUAGAUAGGAGUCGGGUGGAUCAGAAGGCUGGGUUAUGUGUGUGGGUGUGAGAGAGAUAGAGAGAGGGUGCGUGUGAGUCACAUACAAACAGAUAUCAGAGAGAAAUUAGAUCUAGAGAGACGGAGUUUUGUGUCUGCGAGAGAGAAAUAUAUUUCACAACGAGAGUGAUAGCUAGAGAGAUAUACGAGGGAACGCAAGAUAUCUCUAGGGAGAGAGGGUGUGUGUGAGCGACAUACAAGAGAACAAUGGAGAAAUAUGAGACCCUGGGAGACAGAGUUUGUAUUUGUGUGAGAAACAGAUAUUGAUGAGGAAGACUCGUAGGUUCUCAUAUCUAAGGAGCGAAAGACAUCUCUGUAUGAGGGGUGUGCGAGUGGCACACAUGGGAAUAGUAGAGAGAAAUGAGACCCCGGGAGACAAAGUUUUGUGUUUGUGUGAGAGAAAGAGAUUCCACAUGGAGAAUCAUAGUUAGAGACACAUACCAGGGAGGGAGAUAUACUUAGAGAGAGAUAGAGUGAUGAAGGUCGAGGGAUAGAGCACCGUAAGUGUGUUACAAAGAUAAAAGAUCAUUGCCGACAUACAGAUAGCACGAGAGAUACUUGAGAGACGAUGAACGCGUAUAGGUCCAGAGAGAUAGUCCUAUAUAAACAUGAGUGAUAGCUAUAUGAGACGAAUAUCUGGAUUAAACAGGAUUCAAAUAUUUAAACUAGAGAUCACGACAUCGAUAAUAUCAUAACGCAAAUUGGCAUAUCAAACAUGCAUAUUCAUUUGAAUUUGGGCCACGUAUAAUGUUAUAUAGUUUAUCAAUAUUGGUGAUCCAUAGAUUCUUCAAUUACAAACAAUGCAUGGUUUAUAUGUAAUUAAUGUCUAAACGGGAUUACACUAUAUGUUGCGUGUGUGAAACACAUUAUACAUGUUUGAGAAGUAAAAAAAACCCCGCAUGAAACACACAUUAAUUGGAGACAGUUAGUGAGGAAUGCAUACAUUGGAUUUCAACAUAAAGUGGUUUCAAAUAUUUGAAAAUCCAAAUUAAUGGAUACAACCUUAUGGAUCUGAGAUCAUGCCAUUUGUAAACCAUAUUUAUGUAUAAAUGGUGUUGUGCUUUUGAAAGUAUAUAUAAAAAAUGAUGUAUAUAGAAUGUAAUUCCAAUUGAAAAUGGAUCCCGCCCGAAAAAAUAGAAUACAAACGGGAUUCGAAUUGAGUUGGCACGGUAAACGUGCACUCUGCAAAAUUUGAAUGAAGCGGGGAAAGUCGCAGUAACCGCCCGGAACCAAAAUCUGCGAGAUGGAAAUCAUUGUUGCCUAUCCCUGCCACGCAAAGCCUAUAUGCUGGAUUUCUAUAUGUUUCGAUAGGGGUAGGUUUGUAAUUUCACCCAAACGUGACGUAACCGCCUCUCACCCAGAUUCAUACACGGUGGGCACCAAAACACAGUGUGUCCUCAGCCGAAAUCGACUCCCUCCCCGAUUCAUAUUCAUACACGGUGGGCGCCAAAAACAAACUCUCGUUGGAAAAUAUUCGGUGUAUGCGAGAUUACUGUCCUAUCCCCAACCGACUAGUGUUGCUGUGAUGUAGUAGAAAUUUGAAACGGAGGCUAAGUUUGUAAACUUCCUCGCAUUUCAGACAAGCGCACCCUGAAUACAUGGUUCCCCCCUUCCUCUCUAACUCCCUUUUCCCCAUUCGUACUCCGUGGGCGCCAAAACACCCUCUCCAUCCCACCCUCCUCCGUCCGCCGCCCCAUCCACCGCCAUCCUCCACCACCAUGUCGGAGCUGAUACCCCGACGCCGUUGUCCAUUACAAGAGAUCGACCUCUCUCAUCCACGGCUUCGGACCGAGAUCCUUGCAUCCCGUCCUCUCGCUUCAUCCCCGCCGUCGUCCACCUUGCCGGUGCCGCUCCUACGACGGUCUCAUCCACCGCGCCCCGGCGCCGCCGUCUACCCUCCUAGAUCUGCUUCCACGCCGCUGACAGCCAUCGCUACCGCAGCACCGUCAAAUUCUCAGCAGAUGCAUACAUGGCGCCACACCAGAGGCGGUACUCUUUCGUAUCUGCUCAACUUAUUUAUCGCAGCAAGAAAAUAGAUCGCCACUUCUUUACUCUGAUUUCUUGUCUUGGUUGCGAAGUUGCCUUUGUCCGGUUUGCACCUUCAGAUCCGCCAUGGCACGCUCAACACCAUACUCGCAAUGCUUAUGGUUUUCCCCUUUUAUAUUCCACACUAGUUAAAUCACAGUCGACUAAAUUUCAAAAUUGGGUCAGUCGAUUUUUCAGAGCUCGCCGGAGUUCGCCAGUGCGAUCGAAGGGGCUCGGGUGGUUAUGGGGCCUCGCCGAACAAAGAAAACUCGACGCGGGUGGGGAUUGGGGUGGGGGUGGGGGUGGGGGUGGAGGUGGCGGAGGAACACAGGCGGUGGGGGCCGGUGGUCCGGCCGGCGGCCCGUGCGGUGUUCUGUAUGGGAUGAAUCAGAGACGAGGAAGAAGAAGGGUUAGGAGACGUAGGAUCUUCAUCCAACCGCCUGAAAUGGUCGAGAGACAGCUAGGAGUUGCAUUCUUAAUGCGCUCUGAUUCAUCAUGUGUGGGCACUACGCAACCAACAUUUUAUUAUCCAAAAUCUGCUUGCUCUUCUUUACCAUGUUCCUCUUCUGUUCUUCUUUAAUAUGUACUCUCUCCGUUCCUAAAUACAAGUCUUUGCAUAGAUUCCACCAUGGACUACAUAUGGAGCAAAAUGAGUGAAUCUACACUCUAAAAUGUACCUGGAUACAUCUGUAUGUGAUCCAUAGUGGAAAUCUCUACCAAGACUUAUAUUUUGGAACGGAGGGAGUAUGAUAGUAGUACAGUAUGUUCCUUGUACUGAAGAUGAGCAGGGACAUUUGCAGUGUAGAGGUCUAUACGGUCGGUUGUGAUGGACACUUUGAGCCUCUUUGAUUCGUAGGAUCUUGUAAACAUAGGAAUAGGAUUUGUAGUGGCCUGCCCACUUGAAUCAUAUAAGAAUAGCAAGGAAAUGCAGGGAGCCAUGUCGCCUUUCAGAGUUACAUUGAUAUUAACAGUAGCGCACCUUCACUUCAAGAGAGCUGGUAUCCGAAGCCUUUCUAGCCGUACCGGCAAUACUAGCACAUAUAUUCCAGCAAGUUCCACUUUACUGAUUUUACUCUGAUGCUUAAGGUUUUCUCGUUAUAUCUACACUAUGAUCUGUGUAGCUGCUUUGUGUCGCACUAGCAGCAGUCCACUCUUGACGCUAAACACUGCAAUGACUUACAAAAUUGGCACCAAGGCAUUGAGUGCCAUUCUGGAUGCAAUGAAACUCAUACGCUCCCCACCUGUUGAUUCUUGUUCAGAAUAUCAUCCUAAUGACUAUUCUAACCUCGAGGAGUCAAAGGCAGAUGGCCUGUCCUGUUCACCCAUCAAGGCACCUGUUCUAAUUUGGCAAUAUUUUAUUGAUUGUGGGUAUCUUGCAUAUGUUGCCUUGUAUUUCUUCUACUUUGUUGCACUGCCAUCUGCUUUGUUUACUCAUCAUAUAUGUCGAGGUGCCAUGCCCAUCCAUUAUCAAUACAUAUUCCAUCUGUCAUCAUACCAUGUUUUUCCACUCAAAUGUUGUUCUUGUGCAUCAGACAUCAAAAAGGAAGAGGGUGAUUGCCGAACCUGAAGGAGCACCAGCAAAGUCCUUGAAAAACGUGGUGGUGCCGGAGAAAUCAGACAGCACCCCACUUAUAUUGGUUGUACAACCAGUGACACAAAACGUAGGACCGACUCCAGCAGACUGUACACAUACUUCACUAGCCCCACCACACAGGACCUGGACUCCAGCAAAAGGUAUACCGAUUUCAUUUAUCAUAGCACUAGCUGUACCAUAGAAAAAUCCCACUCUAUCAAAAAGUAGCAAGUCCACUGGACGAAGACCUAUCCCAACUGCAAAGGCGGCCAAUUCCUGCAGAUUGGAACCCCAUUUCAUUUAUUCCCAGUUUAAAAGACAAUGCUUUCAAUGUUGUUAGGGACUACAUGCAUAUAUUCCCAUCAUGGAAAGAUUAUUGUGAAGACAAACACCAUUUUCACAUCUUCCUGUCCAACUUACGUGUAAUUGCUAUUAUUCAUGGUUAUUAUUUUCCUAUUUUCUGCUGAUUGAACACAUGAAUGAUUUACAUUACAUUGUUGUAACUAGGCGAGGGUCAAUCUGGAUAGUCAUGACGAGCAAAGUUUGCUUGUGCUUUUCAAGGAAGCAUUCCAGCAGUAUCGGUGUUACCUGAGGAAAUCACACUUUGAUGGCAAGUCUAUAAAUGAAUUUCCGGUGAAGUCUCCUGUGCUAAAUUUAGAAGACAUUGAAUGGAAAAACCUUUUUAUGCGCUGGUCUCAUUCACAGGAUGAGGUACUGUCUAUGAAAUCACAUGACAAUUUGAACUUCUACUUUUCCGCAUGUGCCUUACAGAUCUUUUUUACAGGAAAUCUGCUCGAAGAAGAAUUCCGGUUUGACAAGAAUGACAGGAUAUCGCAAAUAUGUUGUCCGCUGCUUUGCUCUUGUUAGUACCUGUUGUCCUGUAUCACUGUACUUGCAUACAUACCUGGUUCAUUAUGUGACAACAGUAUGCAUGAUAGCUUGCUUAUCAAUUGUUCGCUCCAAAUUAUCUGAUUUGUAUGAAUGGUUACAUUAGUGUAGAAUAUAUCCAAUGCCAAUUUUUUUAGCUCUGUAUUGUUCUUGUAAAUACAUGCUGUCCUUUAUCAGUGUACUUAUAAUGACAUGUAGUUGUUCAUGUACCAUCACUCUGCAACUUAUUUUCUUUUGCCCUCCAUUUUCUACACAUGAUAUCUACAUUUACUCUUACCAUAAGGUUGGUACUGAAAAAGUUUAGUUGUGCAUUGCUCUUGGCUGUACCUUUUGUCUGUAUCGCUGCACUUACAUUUAUAGCUACUUGGUUAUGUAGCAUCACUCUUCAUCUUAUCUUAAAUAUUCUCCAUUUUUUCGUAUAUUAUCACAUCUAUAUUUACUCUUAACAAAAUGUAAAAUAAAGGCAAUGCUUUUGAAGAAGAUUCUGUGGUAAACUUCUUGAAUUGCCCCCCCCCCCAGCAGCAUGGACAAGGCCUUUAUAGAGCCUGUCUUCAUCAAUAAUGUAAGUUUGUCCAUCUCAAGCCUUCAAACUUUGUUGUAUAUAUUUGGUUAGGCAUGACUGCAAGAGCUGUUUAUUUUUUGUGUUUUCAUCAAGUUGCUUGUUUAAAGUUUAUUAUGUAGUUCAUAAACAAAAGUUUGUCCUUUCUCAAUUUAAGUUUUCAGUUGUACAACCAACUUCCUUCUUCAUACCAUGUAAAUUAAACUAUUCAGAGCAAGUGAUCUUCUUUUGCACUGCAUGUAUGCUUCUGUUCUUCAUCCGUAAUCCAGUGGUGUGGUGAACCUACCCGCUACAGCACAAUGUCAUAUUCUGCAAUGUCUUAACUAUGAACAAUGUCAUAUCAUUCUACUAUUAUUUAAACCGUCUCUUUAUUUGCCAAUCUGAAAUGGUAUAAAUUGACAUCACACUAACCAUUAAUACUUAUGAGUUCUUGAUCUGUAAUCCAGUGAUGUCAUGAAGCUGCCAACUCCUUCACAAUGUCAUUUCCUGCCAUGUCUUGACCUGAACAAUACCAUAUUGUGUUAAUGCAAAUUUAAAAUGUGUGACUUUAUUCGUCAGUAAGAAAUGUGAUGAAUUGUCAGCACUGAUACUUUUAUGUGCAAAACCUCUCAUCUGUCUGCUUGUUUAUCUGUCAGAGUGAGGAAGAUAUAAGUGUUGAACAAGCGCAGUCUCAUCAUCUUGCUCAGCUGCUUGCGCUGCAGCUCCCCAGUAGGGCUAACCUUUCUUGAACUCUAUUGAAGUGUUGUCGGUUUUGUAUAUUAUUUUGUCGGCGUAUUUAUUUGCACUGGUGACGAUCUUUGAUGCCCAAUAUAUGUAAUCUGCUGUCUGCUUGUGCUUUAUUAUCAUAGUGGCGAACUUUGAUGCCCAGUGGAUGUAAUAUGCCGUAAUUUCUUUAUUGUAUAGUAUAGGUUUUUUCUUAUUCACGAUGCUGCAGUUAUUUUACUGUAUAUAUAUCCCGUCUUCGCAGUAAACCGGCAAAACCGUAAAAUUACGGUACAUAAUCGGGCCUUCAUGCAAUCAUGAUGUAGGUUGGGCCUGAAACGUGCCGAUCAGCUCAUGGGCCGGCAGUAGCCCGAAAUGAACCCCGGCCCAUGAUUGUGCGAAUCAAAUCGCAGACUUUUAAUAGGCCAAAAAAUUGUCUCGGUCCUUAUUUGGCCCAAUCAGAUAUCGGCUGCAAGCAGGCCGGAUGCAAACGGGACCGUAUUUAGGCCCAACUAUAUGACGGGCUUUUAACAGGCUGAAAUUAAUAUAGGGCCGAAAUGUUAAACGGGCCCUUAACAUGCCAAAACUAAUAUCAGGCGAAAUUACUAAGUGGGCCUUUAGCAAGUGGGCCCAAAAGUAUAGUGUCCAAUUGACGGGCCGAAUCCGAUAUGGGCCAUAAUUAGGCCCAAAACCUCUUAAAGGACCGGACCUGAUCUGGGCCGUAAUUUGGCCCACAACGUGGUAGGCUUUUAACGGGCCGGAUCUCAUAUGGGCCACUAUUAGGCCCGAAGCGUGGCAGGCCAUUAAUAGACCUGAUCAAAUAUGGGCCGACAUUUGGCCCAAAACAUGGCAGCCAGUUAACGGGCCGGCCUACUAGGGUCCUCAAAAUCUUGUGGGCCUACAGCUGGGCCGGCCCAUUAAUGUCGGCGAAAUCUCGUGGGCCUUUAGCUGGACCGGCCCAUUAUGAUCCGCAAGAAUUUUGUGGGCCUUUACCUGGGCCGGCCUAUUAUGGCACACGAAAAUCUUGUGGGCCUUUACCUGGGCCGGCUCAUUAUGGCCCGUGAAAUCUUGUGGGCCUUUAGCUAGGCCAGCCCAUUAUGGUCCGCAAAAUCUCGUGGGCCUUUAGCUGGGCCGACCCAUUAUGGUCCGCAAAAUCUUGUGGGCCUUUAGUUGGGCCGGCCCAUUAUGGUCCGCAAAAUCUUGUGGGUCUUUAGUUGGGCCGGCCCAUUUAAACUUGUUGGGCCGUGCCAUGUGCCGACAUAUCAUAGGCGCAUUCUGUCCAGUGAGUGGAUGACAUCUGUCCCGACGAUGAGCCGACAUGUGUUUCCUCUAGCCAAUGAUGAUUUUACACGUGGAGAAUCCCCAUUGGUUGGGGAUGUUAACGGGUUAUCGGAUCCAAAACCCGACCCGAUAGCUUAACGGCGUUCCGUUACGGUGGAUGUCACGUGUCGGUCACCCUUGACGAAAGCACUUCUAUGACACGUGAUUUAUCGUCAUGGAAGUGGACACUUCCGUGAUGAUACUUUUUGGUAAUGUCAUGGAACACUUCUACGACAUCACAGGUAUGACUAUCUUGAUUCUGUCAUAAAUUUGUCAUGAAUGUGCAUGCAUGACAAAAAAACGACCUACUGUGACAAACACGUAUCAUCACGGAAGUGUAUUUUUUUUGUAGUGGAGUAUUCGAUCAAGUGUACAACCAAAUCAUAUAGAAUCACGGUAGGUUCUGGGGGAAUAUGUAUAGAGGCGGUUGGGUAUUGGAACGUGCGAAGAAGAGAGCCUAUAUAGGAACCAGAAUCCUUGAGAAAAGAUGGUUGGUCUAUAGUGCAUGUAAAAUUUAAUGUGCUACGUCUAACAAUAUGAUGGGUACUAAGUUCGAAAGAACGCACAAUGAGGUUUGAUUGGUCCCAAGCUUAGCCAUUGUGUGGGGCGGAUAGUGACUUUUAUAUUUUUUAGAGGGUCUGUAUUUCAUAUUUUCAAAAGAAAGCUAGUGGAGCCUUGUGAGCCAAAUGCAAUUCAGCCCCUACACUCAAUCCUUUGUUAUACAUGCCUUCUUUGUUCAUAGGAAAACUCAAUAGAAACACAUAGUAGGAGAUAUUGGUUCGUGGCCCUAUUCAUUCAUCCAGUUCCAAGGACUAGAGCAAAAAAAGUUGUGGGGAUAUUUAUUUUAUUCAAAUGAAAACUCCAGAAUUUACAGUCCCCACUGGCCUAUUUUUAGAAUUACUACACAAAAAGUACAACAACAAGAUAUGUAGUGUCAUACUGACAUCCUAAUUAUAAUUUCUCAUAUGGUUGACUUCAUUACACUAGUGCAGUUAAGUUAUAUGCAAAGGGUUUAAACCCCUUUCGUUGACGCAGUUUGGAAGUGUCGCCUUGCGAAGGUAUGCGAUAGGGGAGCCCAUCACACACAAUCCAAGUUAAUCGUCUGUGUCAGGGCUCGAGGAUGCAGAAGAUUUAGCAAAAACAAUCGUAUGCAAAGACAAAGCCUAUCCUAGGCAUGACUCCUGAAGCAAGCGUUUGCAAUAUAUAAAAUGUCCCAAACGUUUCUUACGUAAAAGUCUGUGUGGGGUGAUACAUCUAUUGCACAUACUGUACAUUGAUGUCGGGUUUGCUAUGCAACCAACGUUAGAGGUAAUCGCUCAACGUAGCACUUGUGCAAAAAGAUGUUUAGCACAAACAUUUAAUCUAUUGUGCAGUUUGCGAUGCGAAACCAUAUCAAAGAGAUGGAUCCAUGACGGUUCCCUCAGAAGGAAGGUGACACCCACUGACGGCGCCGGGGCCGCCACAAAGAACAAAUUUUUGCUCGUAUCUGUACCGGCACCAAUGAGGUAUCUUGAACCAAAACCGCGACGAGGACCUGACCACCCAAUCCAGAUCUAGGCAACGCCACCUUCGCUUGAAGAGCAUGAGCCUAGACAACCCACCAUCGCAACCCUUGUCGCCCACACGAGCAAGAGGAACACCUACCGCCGCCACCACAAAGCUCACUCGAGAGCCUCCUGGUAACCUGCCAUCCUGGCAUCCGAUGUCGAACCUCACACUAACACCACNNNNNNNNNNNNNNNNNNNNNNNNNNNNNNNNNNNNNNNNNNNNNNNNNNNNNNNNNNNNNNNNNNNNNNNNNNNNNNNNNNNNNNNNNNNNNNNNNNNNNNNNNNNNNNNNNNNNNNNNNNNNNNNNNNNNNNNNNNNNNNNNNNNNNNNNNNNNNNNNNNNNNNNNNNNNNNNNNNNNNNNNNNNNNNNNNNNNNNNNNNNNNNNNNNNNNNNNNNNNNNNNNNNNNNNNNNNNNNNNNNNNNNNNNNNNNNNNNNNNNNNNNNNNNNNNNNNNNNNNNNNNNNNNNNNNNNNNNNNNNNNNNNNNNNNNNNNNNNNNNNNNNNNNNNNNNNNNNNNNNNNNNNNNNNNNNNNNNNNNNNNNNNNNNNNNNNNNNNNNNNNNNNNNNNNAAUGGAGAGAGAGGCUAACGCUGACGCAUCAGUCGCCCUGAAAAAAUGCUCCAGGCCACGCACAGGGGAUCCAGUCUACUAUCGAUAGACUUUUGAAACAACGAACCAAAAUUGUGGUAGACUUUUGAGAAAUUAAAAAAACGGUAGUUUUCCGUAAUGAUAGCUGUAAUGUGGUAGUUUUUUGCUAUAUACUCUCGUGAUCUACAUAUAUAUACUGAACCGGCAAGCAGAGACAUGUAAAACUACCUUGCUGGCGUGAUGCUGAGGUGAUUUCUCUCCUUCAACGAUGGCAGCGAUGGACUUCUCCUUGACGGAACGAUCUUGCAGUGGCGGCGUGUCCCUACUCAGAUCCUCUCCUCCGGCGACAGUGUGACCUGACCCUCCUCCUCUCCUCCAGCGACGGCGUGACCAGCUCCCCGUACUCUGCCGCUGCAUGGCUUCGCUUCCAAUCUGAUGCGGCGGCGUGGAGUGGAUCCCUUUUUCGCUUUGUCUCUGACUGGUCGUCGCCGCGGGAGAAUUCUAGACGUCACGCGGAAGCCCGCGAAUCCCCAAUUUCCCGACCGCCCUUGCCCAAACUGCUAAGUCCUGAAGUUUUUGCCUAUGUCUCAUAUAGACCGUUGGAUGCGUUUUGGAUGGAGAUUAGGACGCUGAACUCACUGGAUCUCAGUCCAUUUGUCAGGUGGUGGAAAGUAGAUCGAACACAUUUUCACAAAUCAAAACAAAAAUCACGCAUGGAGAUACUCUAUACCCCCAAGCCACAUUUUGUUUUGCAACUAACUCUUUAAACUCCUUUUUUUACUCAUAGCAACAUUGAAUGCAAGUUUGUUUUGGAAAACAUAAAUCCGACAGCAAGAAUAUCGUACAAAAUGUUCUCCUCGUUUACCAAUUGCGGAGUGGAGCUCUCUGCCCCAAAUUUAAUUUCCAUGAAAAUAACACACAAUGGUACGUAACUUCAUUUUUCAACUACUCAGAUAAAAGGUUUUACUUCUGCUUUUGGAAAUAAGGACAUGAAUGUUAAUAUCGGCACAAGCACAUCAUAUGCAGGAUUGCUUGGAUGUUCCUUGUGCCAUAUGCGUGCGUAGAAAAAAAAACCUAUCUGAUGGUUGUUCUUUACCCCAAACCUUCCUUUUGACGGAAACUGGCGGGUGCUCUCUCAUAGGGUACUCAGACUUUUUUCUUCUUCCUUCAUACACUCAUUCCAUGGAAGGGGGCAUGGGAGUUUAGUGAGGGAAUUAGUGAUGGGACUGGACUAGGGAUUUGCCUCUUAUCCCCAAGCUCUUGCAUACGCAUGGGAACAACGAUUUGUAAUUUGAGUUUAAAAACAGUAUCACACUACAAUAUCACUCAGUCACCCAUCAACGUAUCUCUUUGCAAUCUGCCACGCAGGAUCCAUAGGACGCCUUGCUGCUUAUACUGUUGGUGUGUUCUACGACUAAAUAGCGUAGGGGCUUGGCCAUAAACUAUGUCCUGCGGAGGAGCUUGAGUAGGCGGUAAGUUGAGCGCAUUAAGAUAGCUUAUGAAACACCAUGUCAGCCAGUCGGGCGAGUGUGUUGUUGCUUCCACUAUGCCGGUGACGCGCGUCGCAUCGACGAGGGCUGCUCAUAAAGGAGUCCAGGUCAUGCACCUUCUGUGGCACGGCCAGAAACGAUGUUGCGCGAGUGCAGUGGCCCUAGGAGUGCGAGCAGGCGGAGCGAAUUCUACAUCACUACAAGGUGCGACGCUACCUGUGGAGCGAGGAAGCCUCCGCUCUCCAGCUACGACACUAACAUGUGCUCCGGCUCCCAUCAAGCAAGGAAAGUGCCUUGUUGCGCAGCGACAAGACAGCGGAGACGUACUGGAUCCAGUCGUUGAGAGGUGCCAAGCCUGGUUAUCUUCUGAUUCAUCUUGGCUGUCCGAUAUGCAGCCCACGGAAGAUCGAAAAGGGUUAGUUACGCCGUGGCUUGCGAGAGGCAAGUCAUCGAAUCCAGGUGCAUAGCACACGCCCGUGCCGGUGCUCCUGUUGCCUGCCAUUCUUAUCGCUCUACAGUUUUCCAGUCAAUGCAUCCGAGCAAUGUUAUUAGAGUGUACAGUUACAAUUCUAGAGAAAGGGACAUCACAUACUCCACUUAUAUAAGAGGAGUCGUAUAGUAGAGAAGAAUACAGAGUCUAUGUAAAGAGGUUGAGCCAUGCCCAUGUUCCGAGAGUUGGCACAUGCCGCUAUUUCAUUUAUAUUUGGUUGAAAACUUAAAUUCUAUGAUGAGCAGAGAAGGUACAUAAGGAAGAUUCCGAAGAAACAUAUGGGAUGGUUGAAUUCCAGUUACAUAGAUGAUACUUUGAAAACGCGAGCACAUAAGAUGUCUACAGCAAUACCAUGCACAUUUCAAAUGGAAAAGUACUUAUAUGAUUUGGAGAAGUCUCCGUGGUCACUCUCUCUUUCCUCGGUAGUGUCUUUGGUAGCCACUUGAUUAAAAUAUGUUCUGAAGUAAAUGUGCACUACGCCCGGAAAUACCAGGUCUCGGGUGCCAAUGCACCAGAAAUGAAUAAAUUAAUAAAAAUAGCAAAACAAGUAAAAAUGUUGCGAAGGGAUGACUUCUGUGGUAAUCUAGGUGAAAAAGUCGGUACUAAAAUAACUUUUCACAUUUGUUUUACUAGCAACUUUGUUUUUUCUUUUGCCCAGAAGUCUGGCAUUUUUCCGAAAAACUUUACGCACAACUAUAGUACUUGACGAUAUUUUUUAUUUUUAUUUGCCAUUUCUAACUAUUCUUUGGUCUUUUUUUUUGCCCGUGACGAUGGGAAAGGAUUGACUAUAGCAUUUAGAAGAAGUUCUACACUAAGGGACUAUCGCUCGUAUACAUGAGCAAACAUACUAAAUAGCGCGCUAUAGCGUUUAAAAAAGGUCGGUUGCUAUUUAAAGCUAUGAUUUCAAUGCAUUGGCACUCAUGCUCAAAAGAUCGGCACCACACUACACCAUCUUAAGCUAAUGGAUUCCCCGUGACCGUCCUAUCAGACCAGCACCACGCUAGACCAUCUUAAUCUAAUGGAUUCCCUGUGGUCAGCACCAUCAGUUUCAUUGAGAUACAAUGUUUGACUUCUAGACAGAGCCAAUGCAUUUUGGAAGACGAGGGCGGGAGAAUUUAAGCUUGUUUUUGUUGUCGAUCAGUCUGAAUGGCCAAUGGCCAUGUGUGUGCCACACACGAAAGGGUUAGGAGGUCGGCCAAAUUUCUUUCCCAUCUAAUCCUUUGGACGGUUUAUCCAAAAAAACAAUCCUUUGGAUGCUAAUUGACAUGCCUACCAUAUCAACAACCACAUGCUGGUGAACCAUAGAGAUCCCUACCAGGGCACCCCCACCGCACCUACCUCAACCCUCUCGUUCGUCAGCCCUCCUCGCCGCUGCGGGCAGUGGCCUCCGAGGCCGGCUUGCCGGUGGCGGCGGGCCUCCCCGUACGCCUGCCCUCUCUUCCGUUCUCUUCCCCAUCUAGUUUCCUCCAUGGUCGGCCAGAUCGGACACGCCACCGUGCAAGUGCCAGCGCUACUGCUCACGAUUUGCUGGAGGAGGAUACGGCCUCGCUGUAGAUGAGGCGCCGUGCUCCUGGUUCAGCCCGUACAGAACGCCGGGUGCGGCUCCCACGGCUGGACCGAAGUUGUCCCCUACAUUCGUUGUACCUUGAAAUGGUGGUCUCUUUUGCAACAAACUCUGAAAACUUCAAAAAAAAAAUCUUCUCACAGCAACACUGAAAGCACAUUAGUUUUGCAGAAAUAAAAACCAACUGCAAGAAUCUUUUACAAAAUGGACUCCUCUUGCUUCGAUUGAGGAGCUCUUCGCCCCUAAUUUAAUUUCCAUGAUAACAACACACAAUGAUACAUAACUUCAUUUUCCAGUUACCCGUAUGAAAAGGUUUUACUUCGGCUUUUGGAAACAAAGGACUAGAAUGUUAAUAUGUACACUAGCACAUCAUAUGCAGGAUUACUUGGAUGGUCCUUGUGGCAUGUGCCCUAUUCGGUGGUUGUUCUUCACCCAAAUCAAACAAACCCAGACUUCUUUUCCUCUUCAUUCACUCAUUCCAUGGAAGGGGACAUUGGAAUUUAGAGGAAUUAGUGACGGGAUUAGACAAGUGAUUUGUGUUUUAUUCCCAAACUCUUGCUUAUGCAUGGGCGUAAAGAUUUGUAAAUUGCGUUUACAAAAACAGAGUAUCAGAGUACUAUAUCACUCAAUUAGCCAUCAACCAAUCUCCUUUGAAACCAGCCGCACAUAAUAUUGUACCUCGUGCUCGCCUGCUGCUGCUUUGUGAUGGGCUACUGGCCUGGUGUAGCAUGUUCUGCGACUAAAUAGCGGAGGAGACGUUGGCUUGGCCUUGAACGUAGCGCUGCAGAGGAGGUUAAGUAGGCGGUAAGCUGAGCGCACUAAUGUAGCAUAUGAAGCACCUCAUCUGCGAGUCGGGCGAGUGUGCCAUUGCUUCCAGUACGCUGGCGGUGCAUGCCGCAUUAACGAGGGCCGCUCAGAAGUAAUCCGAUUCACACACCUGCCGUGGCUCGGCUGAAACGAUGUCGCACAGUUGCGCUUGACGAAGAGCGGCCACCCUCCAACUGAAGCACUAUUCGGUGCUCCACCUGCAAUCGACAGAGGAAGGUGUGUCUUUGAGCAUCGAGAAGAUUGUGAGGGCGUGUUGGAUCCAGUCGUCGAGAGCUGCCAAGCCUGGUCAUCUUCUGACUCAACUUGACCGUCCAAUAUUGUUAGGUGCACAAUAACACAUAUCGUCUUACGAUGGAUUGCUCACAGCAAUUUGGCUACACAAUCUUGCGGAAGAAAAAGUUGAUAGGUCGGAGAAGAGAUAUACAGGUAAACAGCUAAGAGCAUCUCCAACAGACGCGCUAAAAAAGUUUUACAGCGCCGAAAUAGCGUUUCUGCGGACAAGAGGUUUUCCAGACGCACAAAAAACACAACGCCCAAUGCGGCGGCCCCACCUGCAGCAACCCGCGUGCACAAUCCGGUGCCCCAAAUUUGCAGCCCCACAGCCCGCGCGAACACCAAUGCGCUAAGAUUCUUGAGUGUGCUCUACUUUACAGCGCAUGUAGGUUAGCCUAAUUAAAAAAGGAAACACUUUGUAUCUAAGUCUGAUAAGUGACCUAUAAAGUCCAAUUGCUUUAGUCCGUGUGUCUAGCAUUUGUGUACUCUUUACUCAAGACCACUAGACAACACAACUUCAGGAGGCUAAAUAAAUUCUAGGCCCACUUGUCACCCUCGAACUUCUUUUCUUCUUCCUUCAUUCACUCACCUUUGGCAAACGGUUGAAGGGGGUUAGAAUUUGGAUAAGAAACUGGUGAUGGGAUUGGACUAGUGAAUUUGUUUUUAUUCCCAAACUCUUGGUUAGGCACACAUGGGAAUAAUGAGUUGGUGAUGGGAUUGGACUAGUGAACUUGUUUUUAUUCCCAAACUCUUGGUUAGGCACACAUGGGAAUAAUGAGUUGGUAUUUGCAUUUUAGAACACGAUAUCACUAAUUUAUCCAUCAGUCUAUCUCCUUGUGAUCUGCCAUAUAGGACAGGGCGCCGUCGAGCCAGGCUGCUAGCAUGGUGUUGUGUAGUUUAUGGCUAAAUGACAGAGGAGGCCUUGAACGCAGCAACCUGGAAGAGCCUGAGUAGUCACGAGCUGGGUGAGUGUCGGUAAGCUGACGCAUCAAUAUAUCUUAUGAAGCACUACAUCAGCGAGUAGGGCGAGCGUGCUACUGCUGCCACUGCGCUGGGGGUACACGCGUCAUCGACGAGGGGCGACUUCAGAUCUAGCAUUGUCGGUGGAAACAACAUCUAUGGGAUCACAAGAAUCCCUAUUACGGUUGUGGGGCGCGGGGUCGUGAGAAGAGCGGAUCAAACAGAUAGCACACGGUUCCUUUAUCCAGGUUCGGGCCGCGAGAAUGCGUAAAACCCUACUCCUGCUUUAGUGGAUUGUAUAUCUGUGUUCCUGAGCUAGCUAUGGGGCGUGAGGAGCUUCAAAAAGCCGAAUCCUUCUCCUGGUCACCUCGGGCCUCCUUUUAUAGGAAAAGGGAUAGCCACAGUGGCACAAAGGAGGUGGAAAGGGAACAGUGAUGCGAGGUUAUCCCUCGCAUUACAUGACAAGGCGCAUUUAAUGCGUCUUACCCAGGUGUCCUUGCUUUAUCGGGGACGGGGGAGAGCCCUGUCUCGUCCGUCGCCGCUCCCUCUCGUGUUGACACGCGCCCUGGCCAGCGGCGCCCGCGGUGCCAUGUAGGCAGGCAGGCAGCUGAGGUGGCGCAGUGAUAGGUCUCCACGAAGAUCUGCAUUCCACCACGCAGGUGCCUGCCCAGCUGGUUGGGUCGGCAGCUGCAUGCGAACGACGGUGGAGGUUUGACUGGCGUGGGCCUGAUGGUGGCCCUACGGGUGUUCUUGGCAAGGGCCUUGCCGGGGCCCCGGCAAGGGUCUUGCCGUGGCGCCUGCUGUCAUCCCCGGCAAGGCUCUUGCCGGGGGCCUUGUGGUCCUCCUUGGCUGGGAUCCCGCCAAGGAUCAUCAUCUUCUAAAGGGUGUAUCUGAUCUUGAAUGCCUUCACAAAGAUCUGCAUGCCACCAUGGGGAUGUCUCCCGAAUCCUUGCCCCAUGGGGGCAGUGGACUCAAGGGUGACUCACUCCGUAGGCGUGGGGCGAGCUACCAUGGCAAGGGUCUUGCCGGGUUUGCUAAAACCGCCUCCCAGCAAGGAUCUUGCCGGGGGGGUCCGCUUUGUCCCCUUUGCUCUUUGUGGUCUUGAUCUUGGCGCCGUUCUGCUUCUCCUGAGCUUCGGCCUUAUCUUGGCUCACCUCCCUUGCCUUGCUCAGUGUGGUGGUGCCCGUGGCUCAGACUGCCCGUGCACAGUUAUAGGGGUACAAAAAGUGUACCCCUCUUUUUGUACACCGACAGGAGCCCCCGGGCCUGGGCCACACGUAAGCGGAAUCGCGUUGGGCUAGGCCCAAAAACGGUGCGCGGGCAGGCGGGGCGGUUUUUACUGCGGUAAGAUUCUUCGCGCGCUGCGCUUCCCAUGCUUCCCGCGCGUGGCGCGGCGUGGGGAGGUGUGUGUGACGUGGGCGGCAUGCGUGGGGUUGCUCCCCGCGGGCAUGCGUCACAUCACAAUUAAUGUGAAAGGAGGCGGCCCGCGUUUUUCCCCCAUAAGAAGGAAUAACCGUGGGCGCACUACUCACUUUCUCCUCUUCCCUCGUGCCUUUUCCAAUCUCAGAGCCGCCGUUUCCUCUCUUCCUUCCUUCCUAAGCUUCCGCCGUCGCCCGCCGUCGUUGCUUCGCCAUCCCCCUUCCUCAGCCCUCUGAACUUCUUGGUCGCCAUGGCUCCUAAAUUCGCCAAGGGCAAGGGGGUGGCUAAGGGCGCCGGGGCGGUGGAGCCACCGGCGAGCGCGCUGUCGGGGGACCGGACGAAGUCCGCCUUCUUCUUCCCCUCGACGGUUGAUGUUCGAGAGCUCCGGGCUUCCUUCAAGCCCCUAUGGGGAGUGAAGACGGGGGGAGAGGAUUCGGGACACCCGGCGACGCGCGUCAUUCCUGCCACUUGCGCUGAUCCUGCCUCAAAUCGGUACCCCUUCUUCGUUGAUUACUUUUCCUGCGGGUUAUGCCCCCCUUUCUCCGAUUUCUUUUGCGAUGUUAUGCGCACCUUUGGCUUUCGCCUCUUGGAUUUUACUCCAAAUGCGGUGGCGUGCAUGGCUUUCUUCGCGCAUCUUUGCGAAGGCUUUGCCGGGGUGCAGCCCAACACGGCGCUCUUCCGCCAUUACUUCUUCCCUCGAAUCCAGCCGGGGGGAGCCGUCUCUGGUUGCGUCACCUGGAUCCCAAGAUCCAAGGGGGCGUACCCGGACGGUGCCAUGAAGGAGAGGUGGGAGGAAUGGCAUGGCCGGUGGUGCUGGAUUGAAGAUGAAAACCCGCCGGAAUUCUGCAAGGUCCGCCGAGUGCCGCCGGUCCGUGGUAGCGAUUGGAGCGAUGUCGACGCCGCCGAUGAGAGGCUCACCGUUGCCACCACCAGGAUUCUCCGGCUCACCUAGGCCGGACUCACCCUUGAAAUGAUCGGGGCGGACUUCAUUCGCCGUCGGAUCGCCCCGUUGCACAACAAGGGGAGGCCAGCUUGGCUCUUUACGAACCCGGCUGACAUUAUGCGACUCCGCCCCGGCCUCGAUCACAACUUCACAGUGCUGGCGCAUGCCCACUUCUGCCAGCGGCUUUUCCUGCUUGACGUGGGUCGCGACGGCGAGGUCGAGCGGACCGGCAAGGCCGCGAGGGCUGCCGCAAAGGUUGGCAAGGCCCUCAAGGGGCCAUUUUUCAAGCUGCCAGUGGGGGUGGUCCCGUUGUGCAACAAUUCGCGUUGGUCCGAGAUCAUCGCCAUGAUGCCGGACUGUAAUGUGCACGCCCCGUCCUGAGCUAGGAGGAGCCAAAGGACGAGGAUGUGCAGCAAUUCUUUGACAUGCUGAUCGAGGUGUAUGUCAAUGCCGACGCCGAGCGGUGGCUUAUCAUGGACACCAUCCAGGCAGAGCUGGACUACAUCGCCACUAGGGCGAGGGAGGCACAGCUUGCCAUGGAGGCCGGCAGUGCCGGGGGCGUGGAGGACAAGGCCACAACGGUGGCGGAGGAAGAGGAGCUCACCCGGUGGGCGGCGGACUCCGGGGAGGUCAGCAGCGCCGACACUGGAUCUCCGCUCGUCGAAGACGCGGCCGACGAGUCGUCGGGGGAGGAGGAGGACGUGGCGGCGGGCUCGACGCCAACCAGGGGAAGAGGGCGAGUCCCGCGGCGGGCUGGCUCCGGUGAGCCGGUCCGGCCCGGUAGGGCUGCGUGGCCUCAAUUGACCCUGGAGGGGUCUGGGCACCACACGAGGGCCACGGCAGCCAAGAGGCUGACGAAGGCCGCUGAGAAGAAGAAGACAACAGCCCCUUCCUCAUUCGGGCGCGCACAAACCCAGCCGCCUCCUUCGCCUCCUCCGGUAGGCGUCGACUCGGAUGAUGAUGUGGAGUUCCAUUUUGAUCUCGGGCCUCUCAGCCCGGAGAGGAAAAGGAAACUGGUGGAAGAGGAGGAGACGGAUGACGAGUAAGUUCUCCGUUCCUUACUGUCAUUUCCAUUUCCUCGAAUUGGGUCGCUUGUCUUGAUCCAUUUUUGCUUCCGUAGGGAAAUAGAGACGUUGGCCCAGAGGGUGAAGAGGGCGAGGACCUCGGCGAGCAGCAAGCCCCCGGCUGGGGCUUUAAAGACACCACUGGUGGUGCUGAGCAGCCUGGACAGCAGCCCCCGGCGCAGCCCCCAGCGUAAGUUCGUCACCCUCUUCUUACUCGACAUGUGGUAGGUGCUCGAUGCUAUGAUGCUAACCUUGCUGGGUUUGCAGGAGGGAAGCGGCAGUAGGAGGAGCCACAGAGGGCUACUCCUAACACACCACCCCCAUCGACUAUGCCGCCACGGGGGGCGUCCCCGGCAAGGGCAUCAGGCACGGAGCCCACACCCAUGGAGGAAGAGGGGAACUUGGGCGCUGGUGGCUCUGCCAUGGCGCCAAAUGCUGGCGGAGAGGGGACUUCUGCUUCACAGCCUGGCACUGGUGAGUCGCCUGUCCUUCGUCUCUGUUUUUCCCUUAUUCUUUUCUUGGCUUCAUUGCUCCCGUUGCUGCCCAGGCCAUCCUUCAAUAGGUAUGGAGGACGUGGAUACCGUUGCUGGAAACAUUGCUGAGGAGGCCGCCAAGGAUGCUGCCGAGGACACCACGGCGAGGGUCGCCAAGGCGACCAGCGAGGCUUCUGCCGAGGGCGCCAGCGGUGGACCUGCCGGUGAGGCCGGCAAGGCCUUCGCCGAGGAAGAGGUGGUGGGUGACCAGCCUCCCUCCUCCUCAACCUCGGGCCCCGGCAGAUAUCUGAAGGUGGCCGACAAUCUCUUCGUCCACCUCCCAGGGGCGUCAAGCCGGGCGCCCGGCGAAGGGGAAGCUUUCGACGGCGAGGUGCUUGCCACCACCGGGAUCGAGGUGGUUGAUGAGCCGGGCGUUGGUGGCGACGGUUCUCCAGAAGAGCAGCUUUUUCGUGCCAUGGGGGCCAAUUUCUGGAAGCUCCAAGUGCUCUACCGUGCUCGCCUGGACAAGGUCAAGUCCAGGAUGGCAACGGUAGACAACAUGGAGGUGGACUUCAAGGCGCGCGUUGCCAAGACGCAGACCUGGUUCCACCAGGCUCGCGAGGAGCAGAGGGCCUUUCAGGAGAAAUUGGCCGAGCGUGAUGUGGAGCUCACCAUGAAGAUGGCUGACAUCGAGAAGGCCCAGGAAAAGGCGGCGAACUUGGCUGCCGCGGCCGCCGCCCGGAACCAGCAUGAAGCCACCUUGGAUUCCCAGGAAGAGGACCUCACCGCGCGUGAGGCGAAGCUUGCCGCAGCGCUCCGUGGCAAGGAUGAGGAGCUCGAGGCCCUUGUCGCGCGGCGGACUCGCGAGCUGGAGCAGAGGCACAAGGAGGCACUCGAUGCCCAGGCUCUGGCCCAUGCCGGCAAGGUAAGGGAGUUGGAGGUGGCGCAGGACGAGCUGAGGAAGCAGGCCCUCAAGCUGUCCAACGAGAAGAGCACGCUCAACAGCGCCUUGGUGGAGGUGCAAGGAGCGGUCAUCAGCAGGGCUGGGGAGCUCUCCGAAGCGCAAAACUCCCUCAGAGACCUCAAGCUGAAGCUGGAGGAUCUCGAGAAGAUGCUGUCGGAGAGCAGGGCUCGGGAGGAGACCUUGACCAGGAGCCUGGAGGAGGAGAAGUAGCUGCGGGCGAACGAGGCCGCCUCCCACCAGGAUUAUGUGGCGGGCGAGAACAGAUGGAUCAGCCGUCUGGAGGAGGUCGCCGGUAGGGUCACCUCGCAGUUGGCCACCAUGGGGAUGCCACACGUGAGGUACGCCCCUGAGCGCAGCGGGACCGUCAACACCAAGUUGACCCUGUUCUUCGAGGGCGUCCUCGGAGCCUUGGCUUAUCUUCACUCCAACAGGACGGCCACGCUGGCCGAGGAGGCCCGGUGACUUUGCCGGAGGGUCGUGACCAAGGUCCUCACCAAGACGGCAUACUGGAAUCCCGAUCUUGACUUCGCGGCCGCGAUGAAUAGCUUGCCGGAUGGUGCUGACCUCACGGUGCUCAAGGAGCGCAUCAAGCCCAUCACCGACUGCAUCGAUGAAAUCAAGAGGGUGGAAGGCCAGCGCCGGGAUUAGGCAUCCCGUUCUUCUUCGCCGCUGCGGGUUCCCGACCAAGACAAAUUUUAUCUUUAGUUAGAACCGCAGCUAUGAUGUGAUGUAAUAUAACUUUGAAGUACUCUUAAUUUUCAUGCAUGUUAUUUCCCCGUUCGAUUCCUCUUUGUAUGCGUGCCCUACGUUGAUCGGGAAGGCUUGCCGGCACAGAAGCCCCUAGCGGCGUUUUAGGGACGGAUCCCCAUGGCCAGCCGGGUACGCGUGCUGCCGGACGAGCCACCUUUCCGUUCUGAACGCGGCCGCUCGAACUGUCGAGUUUGACUCGAGUCAGAAUCGGGGGCGUUGCCGAUCGCGGAAGGCUACUCUGCCAUUCUCGACGCAGCCGCUUGAGCUGUUGAGCGGACUCGAAACAGGGCAAGGGCGUUGCCGAUCGUGGUAGAGUCCCCUGGCGUGCAGGUUUCUCAUACAAGGCAAAUAUCUCUGGGGGGAAUAACCUCAAAUACGAAGGGUAGCAUAAAUAAGGGUUCAGUGCAACUUAGCUUCUGUUUGCGAUCGCUCGAGUGUCGAUCUUCUGGCCUCCUUUCUUCUUCAAGGGUCACGAAGACGAAGGAGUGACGGGCUAACUGCUAGAGCCGAUUCUCACAACUGCGCCCCCUACCUGGCGCGCCAAAGAUGUCAGUGGGAAUGACACCUAUGGGAUCACAAGAAUCCCUACUACGGUUGCGGGGCGUGGGGUCGUGAGAAGAGCGGAUCAAACAGAUAGCACACGGUUCCUUUAUCUAGAUUCGGGCCACGAGGAUGCGUAAAACCCUACUCCUGCUUUGGUGGAUUGUAUAUCUGUGUUCCUGAGCUAGCUAUGGGGCGUGAGGAGCUCCAAAAAGCCGAAUCCUUCUCCUGGUCGCCUCGGGCCUCCUUUUAUAGGAAAAGGGGUAGCCACAGUGGCACAUAGGAGGUGGAAAGGGAACAGUGAUGCGAGGUUAUCCCUCGCAUUACAUGACAAGGCGCAUUUAAUGCGUCUUACCCAGGCGUCCUUGCUUUAUCGGGGACGGGGGAGAGCCCUGUCUCGUCCGUCGUCGCUCCCUCUCGUGUUGACACGCGCCCUGGCCAGUGGCGCCCGCGGUGCCAUGUAGGCAGGCAGGCAGCUGAGGUGGCGCAAUGGUAGGUCUCCACGAAGAUCUGCAUGCCGCCACGCAGGUGCCUGCCCAACUGGUUGGGUCGGCAGCUGCAUGCGAACAGCGGUGGAGGUUUGACUGGCGUGGGCCUGAUGGUGGCCCUACGGGUGUUCUUGGCAAGGGCCUUGCCGUGGCGCCUGCUGUCAUCCCCGGCAAGGCUCUUGCCGGGGGCCUUGUGGUCCUCCUUGGCUGGGAUCCUGCCAAGGAUCAUCAUCUUCUAAAGGGUGUAUCUGAUUUUGAAUGCCUUCACAAAGAUCUGCAUGCCACCACGGGGAUGUCUCCCGAAUCCUUGCCCCAUGGGGGCAGUGGACUCAAGGGUGACUCACUCCAUAGGCGUGGGGCGAGCUGCCACGGCAAGGGUCUUGUCGAGUUUGCUAAAACCGCCUCCCGGCAAGGAUCUUGCCGGGGGGUCUGCUUUGUCCCCUUUGCUCUUUGUGGUCUUGGUCUUGGCGCCGUUCUGCUUCUCCUGAGCUUCGGCCUUACCUUGGCUCACCUCCCUUGCCUUGCUCAGUGUGGUGGUGCCCGUGGCUCAGACUGCCCGUGCACAGUUAUAGGGGUACAAAAAGUGUACCCCUCUUUUUGUACACCGACAAGCAUCUACCGAGAGCGGUCGAGACGAUGUCGCACGAGUGUGCGGCCAUGAGGGCUGAGCAGGCAGAGCAAAGGCUGCUCCACUAGGAGUUGCUACGCGUCCCGUACGUUGAACAAGGAUGUCGCCGUCAUCAAGCUGCAGCACUAGAAGGUGCUCUGCCUCCGAUCGAGUGAGGAAGGUGCCGCACUAAGCAUCAACAUGAUGGCAAAGAAGUACUAGAUCCAGUUGGCACGAACUGUGAAACCUACUUAUCUUCUAAUUCAUCUUGGCCAUCCGGUAUGCGAUCGACGAAGGAUGCGGAAGCGUUGGUUACUCCGUGACUUGCAAGGGGUAAGUCAAUGAAUCCAUGUGCAUAUCACACGCCUGUGCUGGUGCUCCUAUUGCCUACCAUACCUAUCGCCAUACAAUUUUCCGAUCAAGGCCCUAAAGCAACGUUAUUAGAGUGAACAAUUACAGUCCUAGAGAAAGAGGCAGCGCCAAAAACUCUACUUAUGUAAGGAGUGUGGUAUAGUAGAGAAGAGUAUGAAGAGUCUAUGUAAAGAGAUUCAACUCUACCCAUGUCCUGAGAGUUGGCACAUGCAUUUCUUUUACAGUGGUCAUGUUUGGUUGAAAACUUGAAUUCUAAGGUGAGCACAAUACUAUGCAUGGUUCAAGUGGAAAGUGAAGGAAAUAUGCCCUAGAGGCAAUAAUAAAGUUAUUAUUUAUUUCCUUAUAUCAUGAUAAAUUUUUAUUAUUCAUGCUGGAAUUGUAUUAACCGGAAACAUGAUACAUGUGUGAAUACAUAGACAAACAGAUUGUCACUAGUAUGCCUCUACUUGACUAGCUCGUUGAUCAAAGAUGGUUAUGUUUCCUAACCAUAGACAUGAGUUGUCAUUUGAUAAACGGGAUCACAUCAUUAGGAUAAUGAUGUGAUUGACUUGACCCAUUUCGUCAGCUUAGCACUUGAUAAUUUUAGUUUACUACUAUUGCUUUCUUCAUGACUUAUACAUGUUCCUAUGGCUAUGAGAUUAUGUAACUCCCGAUUACCGGAGGAACACUUUGUGUGCUACCAAACGUCACAACGUAACUGGGUGAUUAUAAAGGUGCUCUAUAGGUGUCUCUGAUGGUACUUGUUGAGUUGACAUAGAUCAAGAUUAGGAUUUGUCACUCCGAUUGUCGGAGAGGUAUCUCUGGGCCCACUCGGUAAUGCACAUCACUAUAAGCAUUGCAAGCAUUGUAACUAAUGAGUUAGUUGCGGGAUGAUGCAUUAUGGAACGAGUAAAGAGACUUGCCGGUAACGAGAUUGAACUAGGUAUUGAGAUACCGACGAUCGAAUCUCGGGCAAGUAACAUACUGAUGACAAAGGGAACAACGUAUGCCGUUAUGCGGUUUGACCGAUAAAGAUCUUCUAGAAUAUGCGGGAGGCAAUAUGAACAUCCAGGUUCCGCUAUUGAUUAUUGACCGGAGACAUGUCUCGGUCAUGUCUACAUAGUUCUCGAACCCGUAGGGUCCGCACGCUUAAAGUUCGGUGACGAUCGGUAUGAUGAUUUUUGUGUUUUGAUGUACCGAAGGUAGUUCGGAGUCUCGGACAUGACGAGGAGUCUCGAAAUGGUCGAGACGUAAAGAUCGAUAUAUUGGACGACUAUAUUCGGACACCGGAAGUGUUCCGGGUGAUUUCGGAGAAAACCGGAGUGCCGGAGGGUUACGGGAACCCCCUCGGGAGAAAUAAUGGGCCUUAGUGGAGAGAGAGGGCUGGCCUAGGGCAGGCCGUGCGCCCCUCCCCCUCUGGUCCGAAUUGGACUAGGAGAGGGGGGGCGGCUCCCCCCUUUCCUCCUCCCUCUCCUCCUUCCUUUCCCCCUCCUAGUAGGAGUAGGAAAGAGGGAGUCCUACUCCUACUAGGAGGAGGACUCCUCCUCCUGGCACACCAUAGAGGGCCGGCCGGCCUCCCUCCCUUGCUCCUUUAUAUACGGGGGCAGGGGCACCUCUAGACACAAGUUGAUCAUUGAUCCCUUAGCCGUGUGCGGUGCCCCCUCCACCAUAAUCCACCUCGAUCAUAUCGUAGCGGUGCUUAGGAGAAGCCCUGCGUCGGUAGCAACAUCAUCACCGUCAACACGCCGUCAUGCUGACGGAACUCUCCCGUGAAGCUCUGCUGGAUCGGAGUUCGUGGGACGUCGUCGAGCUGAACGUGUGCUGAACUCGGAGGUGUUGUGCGUUCGGUACUUGCAUCGGUCAGAUCGUGAAGAUGUUCGACUACAUCAACCGCGUUCUCAUAACGCUUCCGCUUAUGCUCUACUAGGGUACGUGGACGAUACUCUUCCCUCUCGUUUCUAUGCAUCACCAUGAUCUUGCGUGUGCGUAGGAAUUUUUUUGAAAUUACUAUGUUCCCCAAUAGUGGCAUCCAAGCCUGGUUUAUGUGUAGAUGUUAUAUGCACGAGUAGAACACAAGUGAGUUGUGGGCGAUACAAGUCAUACUGCUUACCAGCGUGUCAUACUUUGGGUUGGCGGUAUUGUUGGAUGAAGCGGCCCGGACCGACAUUACAUGUACGCUUACGCGAGACUGGUUCUACCGACGUGCUUUGCACACAGGUGGCUGGCGGGUGUCAGUUUCUCCAACUUUAGUUGAACCGAGUGUGGCUACGCCCGGUACUUGAGAAGGUUAAAACAACACUAACUUGACAAACUAUUGUUGUGGUUUUGAUGCGUAGGUAAGAACGGUUCUUGCUCAGCCCAUAGCAGCCACGUAAAACUUGCAACAACAAUGUAGAGGACGUCUAACUUGUUUUUGCAGGGCAUGUUGUGAUGUGAUAUGGUCAAGACAUGAUGCUAUAUUUUGAUGUAUGAGAUGAUCAUGUUUUGUAACCGAAUUAUCGGCAACUGGCAGGCGCCACAUGGUUGUCGCUUUAUUGUAUGCAAUGCAAUCGCCCUGUAAUUGAUUUACUUUAUCACUAAGCGGUAGUGAUAGUCGUAGAAGCAAUAGUUGGCGAGACGACAACGAUGCUACGAUGGAGAUCAAGGUGUCGCACCGGUGACAAUGGUGAUCAUGAUGGUGUUUCGGAGAUGGAGAUCACAAGCACAAGAUCAUGAUGGCCAUAUCAUAUCACGUAUAUUAAUUGCAUGUGAUGUUUAUCUUUUAUGCAUCUUAUUUUGCUUAGAUUGACGAUAUCAUUAUAAGAUGAUCUCUCACUAAAUUUCAAGGUACAAGUGUUCUCCCUGAGUAUGCACCGUUGCGAAAGUUCGUCGUGCCGAGACACCACGUGAUGAUCGGGUGUGAUAAGCUCUACGUUCACAUACAACGGGUGCAAGCCAAUUUUGCACAUGCAGAAUAAUCGGGUUAAACUUGACGAGCCUGGCAUAUGCAGAUAUGGCCUCGAAACACUAGAGACCGAAAGGUCGAGCGUGAAUCAUAUAGAAGAUAUGAUCAACAUAUUGAUGUUCACCAUUGAAAACUACAUCUCACGUGAUGAUUGGACAUGGUUUAGUUGAUAUGGAUCACGUGAUCACUUAGAUGAUUAGAGGGAUGUCUAUCUAAGUGGGAGUUCUUUAAUAAUUUGAUUAACUGAACCUUAAUUUAUCAUGAACUUAGUACCUGAUAGUAUUUUGCAUGUCUAUGUUGUUGUAGAUAGAUGGCCCGUGUUGUUGUUCCAUUGAAUUUUAAUGCGUUCCUUGAGAAAGCAAACUUGAAAGAUAAUGGUAGCAAUUACACGAACUGGGUCCAUAACUUGAGGAUUAUCCUCAUUGCUGCAUAGAAGAAUUACGUCCUAGAAGCACCGCUAAGUGCCAAACCUUCUGCAGGUGCAACACCAGAUGUUAUGAACGUCUGGCAAAGCAAAGCUGAUGACUACUCGAUAGUUCAGUGUGCCGUGCUUUACGGCUUAGAACCGGGACUUCAACGACAUUUUGAACGUCAUGGAGCAUAUGAGAUGUUCCAGGAGUUGAAGUUAAUAUUUCAAGCAAAUGCCCGGAUUAAGAGAUAUGAAGUCUCCAAUAAGUUCUAUGCAAGAUGGAGGAGAAUAGUUCUAUCAGUGAACAUAUACUCAGAAUGUCUGGGUACCACAACCAUUUGACUCAACUGGGUGUUAAUCUUCCUUUUGAUAGUGUCAUUGACAGAGUUCUUCAAUCACUGCCACCAAGCUACAAGAGCUUUGUGAUGAACUAUAACAUGCAAGGAAUAAAUAAAACAAUUCCCGAGCUCUUCGUAAUGCUAAAGGCUGCGGAGGUAGAAAUCAAGAAGGAGCAUCAAGUGUUGAUGGUUAACAAGACCACCAGUUUCAAGAAAAAGGGUAAAGGGAAGAAGAAAGGGAACUUCAAGAAGAACGGCAAACAAGUUGCUGCUCAAGAGAAGAAACCCAAGUCUGGACCUAAGCCUGAGACUGAGUGCUUCUACUGCAAACAGACUAGUCACUGGAAGCGGAACUGCCCCAAGUAUUUGGCGGAUAAGAAGGAUGGCAAGGUGAACAAAGGUAUAUGUGAUAUACAUGUUAUUGAUGUGUACCUUACUAAUUCUCGCAGUAGUGCCUGGGUAUUUGAUACUGGUUCUGUUGCUAAUAUAUGCAACUCAAAAUAGGGACUACGGAUUAAGCGAAGAUUGGCAAAGGACGAGGUGAUGAUGCGCGCGGGAAAUGGUUCCAAAGUCGAUGUGAUCGCAGUCGGCACGCUACCUCUACAUCUACCUUCGGAUUAGUAUUAGACCUGAAUAAUUGUUACUUGGUGCCAGCGUUAAGCAUGAACAUUAUAUCUGGAUCUUGUUUGAUGCGAGACGGUUAUUCAUUUAAAUAAGAGAAUAAUGGUUAUUCUAUUUAUAUGAGUAAUAUCUUUUAUGGUCAUCCACCCUUAAAGAAUGGUCUAUUCUUUUUGAAUCUCGAUAGUGGAGAUACACAUAUUCAUAGUAUUGAAGCUAAAAGAUGCAGAGUUGAUAAUGAUAGUGCAACUUAUUUGUGGCACUGCCGUUUAGGUCAUAUUGGUAUAAAACGCAUGAAGAAACUCCAUUCUGAUGGACUUUUGGAAUCACUUGAUUAUGAAUCACUUGGUACUUGCGAACCGUGCCUCAUGGGCAAGAUGACUAAAACGUCGUUCUCCGGAACUAUGGAGCGAGCAACAGAUUUGUUGGAAAUCAUACAUACUGAUGUAUGUGGUCCGAUGAAUAUUGAGGCUAGCGGCAGGUAUCAUUAUUUUCUCACCUUCACAGAUGAUUUGAGUAGAUAUGGGUAUAUCUACUUGAUGAAACAUAAGUCUGAAACAUUUGAAAAGUUCAAAGAAUUUCAGAGUGAAAUGGAAAAUCAUCGUAACAAGAAAAUAAAGUUUCUACGAUCUGAUCGUGGAGGAGAAUAUUUGAGUUAUGAGUUUGGUCUUCAUUUGAAACAAUGCGGAAUAGUUUCGCAACUCACGCCACCCGGAACACCACAUCAUAAUGGUGUGUUCGAAUGUCGUAAUCAUACUUUACUAGAUAUGGUGUGAUCUAUGAUGUCUCUUACUGAUUUACCGCUAUUGUUUUGGGGUUAUGCUUUAGAGACGGCUACAUUCACGUUAAAUAGGGCACCAUCUAAAUCCGUUGAGACGACUCCUUACGAACUGUGGUUUGGCAAGAAACCAAAGUUGUCGUUUCUUAAAGUUUGGGGCUGCGAUGCUUAUGUGAAAAAGCUUCAACCUGAUAAGCUCGAACCCAAAUCGGAGAAAUGUAUCUUCAUAGGAUACUCAAAAGAGACAGUUGGGUACACCUUCUAUCACAGAUCCGAAGGCACUACUUUUGUUGCUAAGAAUGGAUCCUUUGUAGAGAAGGAGUUUCUCUCGAAAGAAGUGAGUGGGAGGAAAGUAGAACUUGAUGAGGUAACUGUACCUGCUCCCUUAUUGGAAAGUAGUUCAUCACAGAAACUGGUUUUUGUGACACCUACAACAAUUAGUGAGGAAGCUAAUGAUGAUGAUCAUCAAACUUCAGAUCAAGUUACUACCGAACCUCGUAGGUCAACCAGAGUAAGAUCCGCACCGGAGUGGUACGGUAAUCCUAUCCUGGAAGUCAUGUUACUAGACCAUGACAAACCUACGAACUAUGAGGAAGCGAUGAUGAGCCUAGAUUCCGCAAAAUGGAUUGAGGCCAUGAAAUCUGAGAUGGGAUCCAUGUAUGAGAACAAAGUGUGGACUUUGGUUGACUUGCCCGAUGAUCGGCAAGCCAUCGAGAAUAAAUGGAUCUUCAAGAAGAAGACAUACGUUGAUGGUAAUGUUACUGUCUACAAAGCUCGACUUGUUGCGAAAGGUUUUCGACAAGUUCAAGGAGUUGACUACGAUGAGACCUUCUCCCUCGUAGCGAUGCUUAAGUCCGUCCGAAUCAUGUUAGCUAUUGCCGCAUUUUAUGAUUAUGAAAUUUGGCAAAUGGGUGUAAAGACAUUAUUCCUGAAUGGAUUUCUGGAAGAAGAGUUGUAUAUGACGCAAGCUGAAGGUUUUAUCGAUCCUAAGGGUUCUAACAAAGUGUGCAAGCUCCAGCGAUCCAUUUAUGGACUGGUGCAAGCCUCUCGGAGUUGGAAUAAACAUUUUGAUAGUGUGAUCAAAGCAUAUGGUUUUAUACAGACUUUUGGAGAAGUAUGUAUUUACAAGAAAGUGAGUGGGAGCUCUGUAGCAUUUCUAAUAUUAUAUGUGGAUGACUGCUACCUCUUGAGCACUGCGUUGGUUUUCCCUUAAAGAGGAAAGGGUGAUGCAGUAAAGUAGCGUAAGUAUUUCCCUCAGUUUUUGAGAACCAAGGUAUCAAUCCAGUAGGAGAUCACGCUCGAGUCCCACGCACCAACACAAAAAAAUAAGAACCUCGCAACCAAUGCGAUAAAGGGGUUGUCAAUCCCUUCACGGGCAAUUACGAGAGUGAGAUCUGAUAGAUAUGAUAAGAUAAUAUUUUUGGUAUUUUUAUGAUAAAGAGAAAUAAAGAUGCAAAGUAAAAUAAACGGCAAUAGAAAUAGCUAAGUGUUGGAAGAUUAAUAUGAUGGAAGAUAGACCUGGGGGCCAUAGGUUUCACUAGUGGCUUCUCUCAAGAGCAUAAGUAUUACGGUGGGUAAACGAAUUACUGUCGAGCAAUUGAUAGAAUUGAGCAUAGUUAUGAGAAUAUCUAGGUAUGAUCAUGUAUAUAGGCAUCACGUCCGUGACAAGUAGACCGAAACGAUUCUGCAUCUACUACUAUUACUCCACACAUCGAGCGCUAUCCAGCAUGUAUCUAGAGUAUUAAGUUCAUAAGAGCAGAGUAAUGCUUUAAGUAAGAUGACAUGAUGUAGAGGGAUAAACUCAUGCAAUAUGAUAUAAACCCCAUCUUUUUAUCCUCGAUGGCAACAAUAUAAUGUGUGCCUUGCUGCCCCUACUGUCACUGGGAAAGGACACCGCAAGAUUGAACCCAAAGCUAAGCACCUCUCCCAUUGCAAGAAAGAUCAAUCUAGUAGGACAAACCAAACUGAUAAUUCGAAGAGACUUGCAAAGAUAACCAAUCAUACAUAAAAGAAUUCAGAGGAGAUUCAAAUAUUGUUCAUAGAUAAACUUGAUCAUAAACCCACAAUUCAUCGGAUCUCGACAAACACACCGCAAAAGAAGAUUACAUCAAAUAGAUCUCUAAGAAGAUCGAGGAGAACUUUGUAUUGAGAUCCAAAGAGAGAGAAGAAGCCAUCUAGAUAAUAACUAUGGACCCGAAGGUCUGAAGUAAACUACUCACACAUCACUGGAGAAGCAAUGGAGUUGAUGUAGAGGCCAUCCGUGAUCAAUGCCCCCUCCGGCGGAGCUCCAGAAAAGGCCGCAAGAUGGGAUCUUUCGGGUACAGAAGGUUGCGGCGGUGGAAUUAGGUUUUCGUGGUGCUCCUGGAUGUUUGUGGGGUACGUGGACUUAUAUAGGAGGAAGAAGUAGGUCGGUGGAGCAACAAGGGCCCACGAGGGUGGAGGGCGCGCCCAGGGGGUAGGCGCGCCCCCUACCUCGUGGCCUCCUCGAUUGUUUCCUGACACCCACUCCAAGUCUCCUGGAUCACGUUUGUUGAGAAAAUCACAUUCCCGAAGGUUUAAUUCCGUUUGGACUUCGUUUGAUAUUCCUUUUCUGUGAAACACUGAAAUAGGCAAAAAACAGCAAUUUGGGCAGGGCCUCCGGUUAAUAGGUUAGUCCCAAAAAUAAUAUAAAAGUUUAAAAUAAAGACCAUUAACAUCCAAAACAAAUAAUAUAAUAGCAUGGAACAAUAAAAAAUUAUAGAUACGUUGGAGACGUAUCAAUGACAUAUUGUUAAUUGGAAAUGAUAUAGAAUUUCUGGAUAGCAUAAAAGGAUACUUCAAUAAGAGUUUUUCAAUGAAAGACCUCGGUGAAGCUACUUACAUAUUGGGCAUCAAGAUCUAUAGAGAUAGAUCAAGACGCUUAAUUGGACUUUCACAAAGCACAUACCUUGACAAAGUUUUGAAGAAUUUCAAAAUGGAUCAGGCAAAGAAAGGAUUCUUGCCUGUGUUACAAGGUGUGAAGUUGAGUAAGACUCAAUGCCCGACCACUGCAGAAGAUAGAGAGAAAAUGAAAGAUGUUCCCUAUGCUUCAGCCAUAGGCUCUAUCAUGUAUGCAAUCCUGUGUACCAGACCUGAUGUGUGCCUUGCUACUAGUUUAGCAGGGAGGUGAUACGUCUACAACAUAUCUAUAAUUUUUGAUUGCUCCAUGCUAUAUUAUCUACUGUUUUGGACUAUAUUGGGCUUUAUUUUCCACUUUUAUAUUAUUUUUGGGACUAACCUGAUAACCGGAGGCCCAGCCCAGAAUUGCUGUUUUUUGCCUAUUUCAGUGUUUCGAAGAAACAGAAUAUCAAACGGAGUCCAAACGGAAUGAAACCUUUGGGAACGUGAUUUUCUCACCGAACGUGAUCUAGGAGACUUGGACCCUACGCCAAGGCAUCAGAGAGGCGGUCAUGAGGGUGGGGGCGCCCCCCCAGGGCGCGCCCCCUGCCUCGUCGGCCCCUCGGUGCUCCACCGACGUACUCCUUCCUCCUAUAUAUACCUACGUACCCCCAAACGAACAGAGACGGAGCCAAAAACCUAAUUCCACCACCGCAACUUUCUGUAUCCACGAGAUCUCAUCUUGGAGCCUGUUCCGGAGCUCCGCCGGAGAGGGUCGUCAUCACGGAGGGCUUCUACAUCAUCAUAGCCCCUCCGAUGAAGUGUGAGUAGUUUACCUCAGACCUUCGGGUCCAUAGUUAGUAGCUAGACGGCUUCUUCUCUCAUUUUGGAUCUCAAUACAAAGUUCUCCCCCUCUCUUGUGGAGAUCUAUUCGAUGUAAUCUUCUUCUUUUUGCGGUGUGUUUGUUGAGAUCGAUGAAUUGUGGGUUUAUGAUCAAGUCUAUCUAUGAAUAAUAUUUGAAUCUUCUCUGAAUUCUUUUAUGUAUGAUUGGUUAUCUUUGCAAGUCUCUUCGAAUUACCCAUUUGGUUUGGCCAACUAGAUUGGUAGUUCUUGCCAUGGGAGAAGUGCUUAGCUUUGGGUUCGAUCUUGCGGUGUCCUUUCCCAGUGACAGAAGGGGCAGCAAGGCACGUAUUGCAUCAUUGCCAUCGAGGAUAACAAGAUGGGGUUUAUUUCAUAUUGCAUGAAUUUAUCUCUCUACAUCAUGUCAUCUUGCUUAAGGCGUUACUCUGUUUUUAACUUAAUACUCUAGAUGCAUGUUGGAUAGCGGUCGAUGAGUGGAGUAAUAGUAGUAGAUGCAGAAUCGUUUCGGUCUACUUGUCACGGACGUGAUGCCUAUAUACAUGAUCAUGCCUAGAUAUUCUCAUAACUAUGCUCAAUUCUGUCAAUUGCUCAACAGUAAUUUGUUCACCCACCGUAGAAUACUUAUGCUCUUGAGAAAAGCCACUAGUGAAACCUAUGGCCCCGGGUCUAUUCUCAUCAUAUGAAUCUCCAUCACUUUAAUCUUGCUUUGCUUUUUACUUUGCCUUUACUUUUUACUUUGCAUCUCUAUACCAAAAAUACCAAAAAUAUUAUAUCUAUCAGAUCUCACUCUCGUAAGUGACCGUGAAGGGAUUGACAACCCCUAAUCGCGUUGGUUGCGAGUAGCUAUCGUUUUGUGCAGGUACGAGGGACUUGAGCGUGGCCUCCUACUGGAUUGAUACCUUGGUUCUCAAAAACUGAGGGAAAUACUUAUGCUACUCUGCUGCAUCAUCCCUUCCUCUUGGGGGAAAUCCAACGCAAGCUCAAGAGGUAGCAAGAAGGAUUUUUGGCGCCGUUGCCGGGGAGUCUACGCAAAAAGUCAACAUACCAAGUACCCAUCACAAUCCCUAUCUCUCGCAUUACAUUAUUUGACAUUUGCCUCUCGUUUUCCUCUCCCCCACUUCACCCCUGUCGUUUUAUUCGCCCUCUCUUUACCAAUCUACUUCUCCUUCUCCUCCCUCUCUAUUUGCCUCUUUUCCCUCGCCAUGUCAGAACCAAAAAGAGUUGGGGUUCUCUCCCAAGUUCUAGUGCUUUAGACAAUCCUGCUAUCUUAUCUAAACUCACAAAUCGGAAUGCUAUAGAACAACUUGCCGGAGUUAUCAAUGAGAACCUUAGUAAUUUUGAUGAAGAUGAUUCUGGAAUUUUUCAUUAUUUACUUGAUGAAUCUUUGAAAGAUGCUUGGGAUAGGCUGUUAAGGAUCCGGGCUAGCUAUGUACCCCAAUAUCAAAUUGAGGUUUACUUAAAAAUCUUUUAUGUUGGGCUACCCGCUCCGUUCAAACAAGUUUUAGAUUCUAUUUUCGAAGGGCGUUUUCUUGAAGGGGACCCCAUAGAUAACUAUGAGAGGAUGAAAACUAUAUUUGGGCACCCCAUUAAUGAGAAAGCUGAAAUCACAUCUCUCUUGCUUUCUUACCAAAAUGAAUCUAUUAAAGAGAUAAAAGCUAGCCUAGAUUCCAAUUUCCGCAACAUUCUUAAUCUUUCUUCUACCAUUAAUGGACAUGUACUUUUCCAAAAUAGAAAGAUUAAUUCCAUAAUAACAAGUUUUCCCUCUUUUUCUCUAAAACCAAAGAUGGCAAUACCUAGAUCUAUCCUCGCUUUUAUGCCUAGCUAGGGGCGUUAAACGAUGGCGCUUGUUGGGAGGCAACCCAAUUUUAUUUUUAUUCCUUGCAUUUUGCUCCUGCUUAGUAAUAAAUAAAUUAUUUAGCCUCUGUUUUGGUUGUGUUUUUUGUGUUUAAUUAGUGUUUGUGCCAAGUAGAACCAUUGGGAAGACUUGGGGAAAGUCUUGUUGAACUUGCUGCAAAAAAACAGAAACUUUAGCGCUCACGAGAACUGCAGCCAUUUUUAUUUAAAGAGUGAUAUUUAGUUAAUUCUUUUUGAAGAUGAUUAAUAGAUAAAUUCCUCACGUCCAGCAAUUUAUUUUAGAAUUUUUGGGGUUCCAUAUCUUGCGCUAGCUACAGAUUACUACAGACUGUUCUGUUUUUGCCAGAUUCUGUUUUUCGUGUGUUGUUUGCUUAUUUUGAUGAAUCUAUGGUUAGUAAAAUAGUUUAUAAUCCAUAGAGAAGUUGGAAUACAGUAGGUUUAACACCAAUAUAAAUAAAGAAUGAGUUCAUUACGAUACCUUGAAGUGGUCUUUUGUUUUCUUUCGCUAACGGAGCUCACGAGUUUUCUACUUUAAGUUUUGUGUUGUGAAGUUUUCAAGUUUUGGGUGAAUUCUUGUGAUGGAUUAUGGAACAAGGAGUGGCAAGAGCCUAACCUUGGGGAUGCACAUGGCACCCCCAAUAUAAUCCAAGGACACCAAAAAGUCAAAGCUUGGGGAUGCCCCAAAAGGCAUCCCCUCUUUCGUCCACUUUCAUCGGUAAUUUACUUGGAGCUAUAUUUUUAUUCACCAACAUGAUAUGUGUUUUGCUUGGAGCGUCUUGUAUUAUUUUUGUCUUUGUGUUUUAGUAUGCCACAAUCAUCCUUUUUGUACACACCUUUUGAGAGAGCCAUACAUGAAUUAAAAUUUGAUAGAAUACUCUAUGUGCUUCACUUAUAUCUUUUGAGCUAUGUAGUUUUGCUCUAUGUGCUUCACUUAUAUCUUUUGAGCUAUGUAGUUUUGCUCUAUGUGCUUCACUUAUAUCUUUUGAGCGUUAUAAUUUUGCUCUAUGUGCUUCACUUAGAUCUUUUAGAGCACGGUGGUGGAUUUGUUUUAAAGAAAUUAUUGAUCUCUCAUGCUUCACUUAAAUUAUUUUGAGAGUCUCUUAAUAGCAUGGUAAUUUGCUUAAUAAUAAUAUGCUUGGUAUUCAAGAUUUGUGAAACUUUCUUUUGAGUGUGUUGAAUACUAAGAAAAGUUUGAUACUUGAUAAUUGUUUUGAUAUAUGGAGGUGAUAAUAUUAAAGUCAUGCUAGUUGAGUAGUUGUGAAUUUAAAGAAUACUUGUGUUAAAGUUUGUGAUUCCCGUAGCAUGCACGUAUGGUGAACCAUUAUGAGAUGAAGUUGAAGCAUGAUUUAUUUAUUGAUUGUCUUCCUUAUGAGUGGCGGUCGGGGACGAGCGAUGGUCUUUUCCUACCAAUCUAUCCCCUAGGAGCAUGCGCGUAAUACUUUGCUUUGAUAACUUCUAGAUUUUUGCAAUAAGUAUAUGAAUUCUUUAUGACUAAUGUUGAGUCCAUGGAUUAUACGCACUCUCACCCUUCCAUCUUUCCUAGCCUCUCUAAUACCGCGCACCUUUGGCCGGUAUCAUACACCCACCAUAUACCUUCCUCAAAACAGCCACCAUACCUACCUAUUAUGGCAUUUCCAUAGCCAUUCCGAGAUAUAUUGUCAUGCAACUUACCACCGUUCCGUCUAUUAUGACACACUCCAUCAUUGUCAUAUUGCAUAUCCCGGUACACCGCCGGAGGCAUUCAUAUAGAGUCAUAUUUUGUUCUAAGUAUCGAGUUGUAAUUGUUGAGUUGUAAGGAAAAUAAAAGUGUGAUGAUCAUCAUUAUUAGAGCAUUGUCCCAGUGAGGAAAGAAUGAUGGAGACUAUGAUUCCCCCACAAGUCGGGAUGAGACUCCAGACGAAAAAUAAAAAAAGAGGCCAAAGAAGCCCAAAUAAAAAGAGGCCAUAAAAAAGGGGAGAAAAGGCCCAAAUAAAAAAAUGAGAGAAAAAGAGAGAAGGGACAAUGUUACUAUCCUUUUACCACACUUGUGCUUAAAAGUAGCACCAUGAUCUUCAUAGUAGAGAGUCUCUCAUGUUAUCACUUUCAUAUACUAGUGGGAAUAUUUCAUUAUAGAACUUGACUUGUAUAUUCCAAUGACGGGCUUCCUCAAAUUACCCUAGGUCUUCAUGAGCAAGCAAGUUGGAUGCACACCCACUUAGUUUCUUUUUGAGCUUUCAUAUACUUAUAGCUCUAGUGCAUCCGUUGCAUGGCAAUCCCUACUCACUCACAUUGAUAUCUAUUGAUGGGCAUCUCCAUAGCCCGUUGAUACGCCUAGUUGAUGUGAGACUAUCUUCUCCUUUUUGUCUUCUCCACAACCACCAUUCUAUUCCACCUAUAGUGCAAUAUCCAUGGCUCACGCUCAUGUAUUGCGUGAAGAUUGAAAAAGUUUUGAAAAAGUUAGAGUAUGAAACAAUUGCUUGGCUUGUCAUCGGGGUUGUGCAUGAUUUAAAUACUUUGUGUGGUGAAGAUAGAGCAUAGCCAGACUAUAUGAUUUUGUAGGGAUAACUUUCUUUGGCCAUGUUAUUUUGAGAAGACAUAAUUGCUUUGUUAGUAUGCUUGAAGUAUUAUUAUUUUUAUGUCAAUAUAAACUUUUGUCUUGAAUCUUUCGAGUCUGAAUAUUCAUAUCAUAAUUAAGAAGAUUUACAUUGAAAUUAUGCCAAGUAGCACUCCGCAUAAAAAAUUCUCUUUUUAUCAUUUACCUACUCGAGGACGAGCAUGAAUUAAGCUUGCGGAUGCCUGAUACGUCUCCAACGUAUCUAUAAUUUUUGAUUGCUCCAUGCUAUACUACUACUGUUUUGGACUAUAUUGGGCUUUAUUUUCCACUUUUAUAUUAUUUUUGGGACUAACCUAUUAACUGGAGGCCUAGCCCAGAAUUGUUGUUUUUUGCCUAUUUCAGUGUUUAGAAGAAACGGAAUAUCAAACUGAGUCCAAACGGAAUGAAACCUUCGGGAACAUGAUUUUCUCACCGAACGUGACCCAGGAGACUUGGACCCUACGCCAAGGCAUCCGAGAGGCGGUCAUGAUGGUGGGCCCCCCUAGGGCGCGCCCCCCGCCUCGUGGGCCCCUCGGUGCUCCACCGACGUACUCCUUCCUCCUAUAUAUACCUACGUACCCCAAACGAACAGAGACGGAGCCAAAAACCUAAUUCCACCGCCGCAACUUUCUGUAUCCAUGAGAUCCCAUCUUGGGGCCUAUUCCGGAGCUCCGCCGGAGAGGGCCGUCAUCACGGAGGGCUUCUACAUCAUCAUGCCCCUCCGAUGAAGUGUGAGUAGUUCACCUCAGACCUUCGGGUCCAUAGUUAGUAGCUAGAUGGCUUCUUCUCUCUUUUUGGAUCUCAAUACAAAGUUCUCCUCCUCUCUUUUGGAGAUCUAUUCGAUGUAAUAUUCUUCUUUUUGCAGUGUGUUUGUUGAGAUCGAUGAAUUGUGGGUUUAUGAUCAAGUCUAUCUAUGAAUAAUAUUUGAAUCUUCUCUGAAUUCUUUUAUGUAUGAUUGGUUAUCUUUGCAAGUCUCUUCGAAUUACCCGUUUGGUUUGGCCAACUAGAUUGGUAGGUCUUGCCAUGGGAGAAGUGCUUAGCUUUGGGUUCGAUCUUGCGGUGUCCUUUCCCAGUGACAGAAGGGGCAGCAAGGCACGUAUUGCAUCGUUUCCAUCGAGGAUAACAAGAUGGGGUUUAUUUCAUAUUGCAUGAAUUUAUCUCUCUACAUCAUGUCAUCGUGCUUAAGGCAUUACUCUGUUUUUAACUUAAUACUCUAGAUGCAUGUUGGAUAAGGCCGAUGAGUGGAGUAAUAGUAGUAGAUGCAUAAUCAUUUCGGUCUCUUGUCACGGACGUGAUGCCUAUAUACAUGAUCAUGCCUAGAUAUUCUCAUAACUAUGCUCAAUUCUGUCAAUUGCUCAACAGUAAUUUGUUCACCCACCGUAGAAUACUUAUGCUCUUAAGAGAAGCCACUAGUGAAACCUAUGGCCCCCGGGUCUAUUCUCAUCAUAUCAAUCUCCAUCACUUUAAUCUUGCUUUGCUUUUUUACUUUGGCUUUACUUUUUACUUUGCAUCUCUAUACCAAAAAUACCCAAAAUAUUAUAUCUAUCAGAUCUCACUCUCGUAAGUGACCAUGAAGGGAUUGACAACCCCUAAUUGCGUUGGUUGCGAGUAGCUAUCGUUUUGUGCAGGUACUAGGGACUUGAGCGUGGCCUCCUACUGGAUUGAUACCUUGGUUCUCAAAAACUGAGGGAAAUACUUACGCUACUCUGCUGCAUCAUCACUUCCUCUUUGGGGAAAUCCAACGCAAGCUCAAGAGGUAGCAGGAGGUACCAAAGUAAUCCAGGAGUGGAUCACUGGACGGCGGUCAAGAACAUCCUAAAAUACCUAAAAAGGACUAAGGAUAUGUUUCUCGUUUAUGGAGGUGACAAACAGCUCAUCGUAAAUGGUUACGUUGAUGCAAGCUUUGACACUGAUCCGGACGAUUCUAAAUCGCAAACAGGAUACGUGUUUAUACUGAACGGUGGAGCUGUCAGUUGGAGCAGUUCUAAACAAAGCGUCGUGGUGGGAUCUAAGUGUGAAGCGGAGUAUAUUGCUGCUUCGGAAGCAGCAAACGAAGGAGUCUGGAUGAAGGAGUUCAUAUCUGAUCUAGGUGUCAUACCUAGUGCAUCGGGUCCAAUGAAAAUCUUUUGUGACAAUACUGGUGCAAUUGCAUUGGCAAAGGAAUCCAGAUUUCACAAGAGAACCAAGCACAUCAAGAGCCGCUUCAAUUCCAUCCGUGAUCAAGUCCAGGUGGGAGACAUAGAGAUUUGCAAUAUACAUACGGAUCUGAAUAUUGCAGACCCGUUGACUAAGCCUCUCUCACGAGCAAAACAUGAUCAGCACCAAGACUCCAUGGGUGUUAGAAUCAUUACUAUGUAAUCUAGAUUAUUGACUUUAGUGCAAGUGGGAGACUGAAGGAACUAUGCCCUAGAGGAAAUAAUAAAGUUAUUAUAUAUUUCCUUAUAUCACGAUAAAUGUUUAUUUAUUCAUGCUGGAAUUGUAUUAACCGGAAACAUGAUACAUGUGUGAAUACAUAGACAAACAGAUUGCCACUAGUAUGUCUCUACUUGACUAGCUCAUUGAUCAAAGAUGGUUAUGUUUCCUAACCAUAGACAUGAGCUGUCAUUUGAUAAACGGGAUCACAUCAUUAGGAGAAUGAUGUGAUUGACUUGACCCAUUUCGUCUGCUUAGCACUUGAUCGUUUUAGUUUACUACUAUUGCUUUCUUCAUGACUUAUACAUGUUCCUAUGACUAUGAGAUUAUGUAACUCCUGAUUACCGGAGGAACACUUUGUGUGCUACCAAACGUCACAACGUAACUGGGUGGUUAUAAAGGUGCUCUACAGGUGUCUCUGAUGGUACUUGUUGAGUUGACAUAGAUCAAGAUUACGAUUUGUCACUUCGAUUGUCGGAGAGGUAUCUCUGGGCCCACUCGGUAAUGCACAUCACUAUAAUCCUUGCAAGCAUUGUAACUAAUGAGUUAGUUGCGGGAUAAUGCAUUAAAGAACGAGUAAAGAGACUUCCCGGUAACGAGAUUGAACUAGGUAUUGAGAUACCGACGAUCAAAUCUCGGGCAAGUAACAUACCGAUGACAAAGGGAACAACGUAUGCUGUUAUGCGGUUUGACCGAUAAAGAUCUUCGUAGAAUAUGUGAGAGCCAAUAUGAACAUCCAGGUUCCGCUAUUGGUUAUUGACCGGAGACGUGUCUCGUUCAUGUCUACAUAGUUCUCGAACCCAUAGGGUCCGCACGCUUAAAGUUCGGUGACGAUCGGUAUUAUGAGUUUUUGUGUUUUGAUGUACCGAAGAUAGUUCGGAGUCCCGGAUAUGAUCACGGACAUGACGAGGAAUCUCGAAAUGGUCGAGACAUAAAGAUCAAUAUAUUGGACGACUAUAUUUGAACACUGGAAGUGUUCCGGAUGAUUUCGGAGAAAACCGGAGUGCCGGAGGGUUACCGGAACCCCCUCGGGAGAAAUAAUGGGCCUUAUGGGCCUUAGUGGAGAGAGAGAGGGCUGGCCUAGGGCAGGCCGCGCGCCCCUCCCCCUCUGGUCCGAAUUGGACUAGGAGAGGGGGGGCAGCGCCCCCCUUUCCUUCUCCCUCUCCCCCUUCCUUUCCCCCUCCUAGUAGGAGUAGGAAAGAGGGAGUCCUACUCCUACUAGGAGGAGGACUCCUCCUCCUGGCACGCCAUAGAGGGUCGGCCGGCCUCCCCCCUUGCUCCUUUAUAUACGGGGGUAGGGGGGCACCUCUAGACAUAAGUUGAUCAUUGAUCCCUUAGCCGUGUGCGGUGCCCCCCUCCACCAUAAUUCACCUCGAUCAUAUCGUAGCGGUGCUUAGGCGACAUCAACACCGUCAACACGCCGUCGUGCUGACGGAACUCUCCCGUGAAGCUCUGUUUGAUCGGGGUUCGUGGGACGUCAUCGAGCUGAACAUGUGCCGAACUCAGAGGUGCCGUGCGUUCGGUACUUGGAUCGGUCGGAUCGUGAAAACGUUCGACUACAUCAACCGCGUUCUCAUAACGCUUCCGCUUACGGUCUACGAGGGUACACGGACGAUACUCUUCCCUCUCGUUGCUAUGCAUCACCAUGAUCUUCCGUGUGCGUAGGAAUUUUUUUGAAAUUACUACAUUCCCCAACAGAAAGGUAUUAGGACUCUAGGCGUAACAUGAUUGGAAGAAGUCUUAGAGGGCCUCUUUUGUCUUUUUUAAACACUCGUAAGUAGUCACUUCAGUAAAAUAUCAUCUUAAUUAAAUAUUUAUUACACCAUCUUAAACUAAUGGAUUCCCCGUGUAUGUUUCCUCUCACACCAACACCGCCAGUUUGAUUGGAGAUGCAAUGCUUGCCAUUUAGGUAGAGCAAAUGCAUUUGUUAAGACAAGGACAGAACAAUAUGGGCGCAUUUUUAUUGCCACUCAUCCCGAAUGGCCAAAGGUCAUGUGUAUCUCAAACAAGAAACGCUUUAGAUGUUAGCCAAAUUUCUUUCCCAUCUAAUCCCUGGGAUGGAUGACACCCUUGCUGGAGCAGCAACUACACACACGCGGCAGCUACUACUCCUUCGUUGAAUGAUAUUCACUUUGGGAGAUGAUUCAAAUGUAUGUCCCUGAUCUGGAUUGACGUCUUAGUGUACAAAUCUAUCUAGGAUAUUAAAUUUUGACAAACAAUUAACCACCUAAUUAGCAAGGUGUGCACCUAACCAAUAUCAAUUAAAGAGAUGAUGGACCAAAAUAUCCUUUUCAAAUACCUAGGUAGUUCUCAAAUUUGUAUGUCCUCAUACGCAAACUUUGAAUUGUAUAGGUGAUUCAUUUUUGUUAUCCUCAAUUACCUGUUGUUUGGUUCACGUAGAGCACGCCAUGUACAUGUAUGUUUAAAGGCCACGUUCCGAAGGCCUCUUAGACAACCGUCGUUUUAUUCCACCUAGUUUGUUUUGCCGUUGUGUCGCUGGAUGUAGGAAUGUGUUGCCCGCUGAGGAGAUCAACUGCAUUCAAUUUCAGUUUAGUUGCACAUGAGCCGCCUGAAAUGGAAUUUGGGUCAGUCGAUUUCGGAUGAACAAAGCAGCCAACGGAGGGAAGGAAGAAGCAGUAACCAGCUCAGCGGAGAAGCCCUUUUGGGCUAUGUUAGGGUGGUAGGCGACCGCAUUAUCCAUUUUAGGGGUGUGGGAUGGUGCAGAUUCGCCGGAAAAAAACUGGUCAUCGCUAGGGUUAGAGGGAUGGCCGCACGGCCCAAGGAGGGGGUUAAGGGUGGGGCGGGGUGGCGAGCAGGAGCGCCGCCGGCCGCAUGCGAUGGUGGCCGCCUGUUCCGCCGGUGGUACGUUGGGUGGUUGGGGUUGAAGAAGAAUGUGGGCCUUGGAGGUUGAAGAAGCAAUCUUGACCGCUUGUUUUGCAUCGGACGGCUAAAACCAAUCGAUUGACCCAAAUUGAUUUUUCUGUUGGCUUACCCCCUAGCCACCCCCGUUCAAUUUUAUGUGGUCAUAUGGAGUAGUACUAAUCAAGACUAGUGCAAAGUGGGAUUUAUUGUGGCAUGCUUUAUUGAAAAACUUGAAUUCUAUAUAUGUCUAUAAGAAAAGGUUUGUAAGUAAGUCUGGAAAGAAAUCGGGUGUAUUGAUUCCAUCUACAUAGGAUGCACACACUGACAAGCAAGUGAGAUUUCAAAAGCACAGUUCCAAUGGAAAAGUACUAAUGAAGUCUUCAGGAAUCUUUCUCUCCCUUUCUUUGACGGUGUCUUCUAGUCACGCCACUAAAAUGAUAAAAUAGCAUCUUAGGUAAAUAUGUCUGACGACAUUUCUCUGGUGAGCCAUAGAGAUCCCUACCAGGGCACCCCCACCGCACCUACCUCAACCCUCUCGUUCGUCAGCCCUCCUCGCCGCCGCGGGCAGUGGCCUCCCAUGCCAGCUUGCCGGUGGCAGCGGGCCUCCCCGUAUGCCUGCCCUCUCUUCCGUUAUCUUCCCCAUCUAGUUUCCUCCAUGGUCGGCCAGAUCGGACACGCCACUGUGCAAGUGUCAGUUCUACUGCUCACGAUCUGCUGGAGGUGGAUACAGCCUCACUGUAGAUGAGGCAUCGUGCUCCUGCUUCAGCCCGUACAGAACGCCGGGUGCGGCUCCCACGGCCGGACGGAAGUUGUCCCCGGGAUUGGAUGCUCUGCCGAGUCAAUCCAUGGCCUGCCCACUGUUCAUGUGGUUCUCCCAUAGUGCAACUUCGACCCGGCACGAUCGUGAUGUGUGUGGCCGGUCGAAGGUAGCCGCGGCCUGGUCCCCGAUGAUGCUUGGCUAGUUGGCAUGCUGCGGCGGUGAGUGUGACACAUGUGCGACGGACACAAGGUAUGUUAUGGUUGUGGAUCGACGCGAGUAUGGCCCAUAUAUGCUUGACUCUACCUGUGAUGAUAGCGAACAUGAGCCGUGCGAUGGUUGGAUGACGUGAGCGUCACUAUGGUGGCAGACGACAUGUGAUCUAGCGCGAGGCAUCCCUGCUUUUUCUACUACCUAGAUGCUCAACAUUGUGUCCAGAACAAUUGCCGGUGGACUUUGGCGAAGAUAUAUAGGGCGUGGCCGUCGGAUGACCCUGUAUGUGUUCUUGGCGGCUCCGACGGCUAUUUCUGCGGUCUAUGUCCAACCAUUGUUGAAGACUUGAGGCUGCUGGUGGGUUCUUGGUGGUGUUAAUAACCUUGUUGAUGCUGGCGGUGUUGCUUUGAUCUGCUCCACAUAUACGUGGUAUGUCCUGUUUGCGUGGCGAUCUUCACGUUAGGUAUGUUAACGUGUACGGUUGACAUGUGACGACAUGGCUUGCAGCAGUGACUUCUUCAUUGAAAGGGGGGCGACAAUACAAGGUGACUUAAGAUUGGUGGUGCUUUUGAGCACAAGGUCUCGAUCUCCAGAGUGAAAACUCUAGGUUUCACCUACAUUGGUGCGCUCAGCUUACCACCUACUCAACCUCCUCUACAGCGCUACGUUCAAGGCCAAUGUAGGUGAAACCUAGAGUUGUCACUAAUUUACACAACCAACCACUAUAGCUUUCCUGUCUUUUCUCCUGCAAAUCAGAGGACCCGGCUUCCUUCGACAAGCGCAACCAUGCGACAUCUCUUCGGCCGAGCCAUGAUAGGUGCACCACCGGGACUCCGUCGUGCGCGGCCCUCGUUGAUGCGGAAUGCACCGCCGGCGUAGUGGUAGCAAUGGCACGCUCACCCGACUUGCGGAUGAGGUGCUUCAUAUGCUAAAUGUGGAGCCGGCGGUUGAACGGUUGCGCUUGACGAAGAGUGGCGACCCACCUCCAGCUAAAACACUGCUAGGUGACGCAACUGCAAUCGACCGAGAAAGGUGUGUCUUUGAGCAUCCAGAAUAUUGUGAAGGCGUGUUGGAUCCAUUUUUCGAGAGCUGCCAAGCCUGGUCAUCUUCUGAUUCAUCUUGACCGUCCAAUAUUGUUAGGUGCACACUAGAAAAGAUCCUCUCACGGUGGAUUACUCACAGGAAUUUGGCUACACUAUCUUGGGGAAGAAGAAGUUCUACAAAAAGGAGAAGAGAUACAGGUUACAACUAAGCACUACAUCCGCCGCAGGGAUGUCUCCUUACUAACCAAGCCAGCUACUAAAGCAGCAUUGCGGGUUUGCCACUCAUCUUCCUUCAUGAACAUGUACGAGACCCACUGCGAGCCCGAGAACUGGUGAUUGAGCCAUCAUGUCUGCACCGGCCUGUUGGGUUUGCUUCCUUCCCCUCGUUUCUCCUGUGCUGGAGCGUUGCUAGUGUUCAGGUCGUUGACAAAUAUGCAACCGCUAGCGGCAAGUCCCUGAAUCUAUGUGCAUAGCACACGCUCAUGCCCAUGGUCCCGUUGCCUACCAUUCCUUUUGCCAUACAAUUUUUCUAGUCAAUGCCCUCGAGCAAUGUUAUGCUAUUAGGGUGUACAAUUACCAUUCUAGAGAAAGAUGUAGCACCAAAAACUCUAUUUAUAAGAGGCUGAACUCUAACCAUAUCUGAGAGUUGUCUCAUGCAGUUAUUUCAUUUACUGUGGGAAUCUUUGGUUUAAAACUUGAGUAUAAUGUUGAGCAGAGAAGUUACAUAAGAAAGUCUGGAAGAAAGAUGGGAUGAAUGAAUUCCAUUUACAUAGAAGAAAUUUUGAAAGCACGUGCACAUAAGACGUCUAACGCAAUACCAUGCACAAUUCAAAUGGAAAAGCUCUAACAUGAUUUGGAGAAGUCUUUGGGAGUCUACUCCCUUUCAUUGAUAGGGUCAUUAGAAGUCAAUUCAUGAAAUAUUGUCUCAAGUAAAUAUGCACUACACCAUCUUAAAAUAAUCGAUUCCCCCUGACCAUCUCCUUCCAGACUAACACCACCAGUUUGAUUGAGAUACAAUGUUUGCCUUUCCGACAGAGCCAGUGCAUUUGGGAAGACAAGGAUGGGAGAAUUUAAGAUCAUUUUUGUUUUCAAUCAGUCUAGAUGGCCAAUGGUGCAUGUCAAAUAAGAAAGGCUUAGAGUGUCGACAAAAUUUCUUUUCCAACUAAUCCUUUGGACGUUUGGCAUCCCUGCUGGAGCAAUAACUACAUAGAUGUGAAUACCCAUAAUUCCUCCGGUGGUGUUCCCCGGCAGUGGGAUCCAUGGUUGUGUCCCUGCGGUUUGGCUCUCUAGAUCUAGUGUGGAAGGGGAUAUGGUUCUCCUUCCCGGUGGUUGCGACAUGGUGGAGGCCGUGGGGCCUGAGUUCUCUUAUGCGGUCAAUUGGUUUGCACUGGACGUGCCUCAGUUUUUUCAAGUAUUUUUGCAGUUGUCCUCUUCUUCGAGUUUCGCCAUCAGCUUUCCCUCUGCACUCGAGUCUCCGUGUGCUGGCGGCGCAGUAACUGGCCGGCAUGCCUCCCUUGUCGAGAUGGUACUGGUCAGUGUCAUUUCAAUGUUGUCUGCAAGGCCAGUAUCUUCCUCAACUCUCAGGAGAAUUCCUCUACAACCCGAUGACACGGCGCCUUUCGAACCUAAGGCGAGGGGAAGGAUACCUCUUCAGCAUUAGAGAAGGAUGGUCCGUUGUUUCUUUAGGGAAAUGACAUGACUACGUCGCGUGUAUUUUAAUUGGUUUUCAAAUAUUGAAAUGUUUCAAGUGUAAAGGAAGAAAUAGCAAAAAAAAAUGGCCUACAAAGUGGGGCUGAGGUAGCCCCAGGGAGUACUGAUAUUGUUUCUUUCAAUUGUGGGCAUAGCCUCUCUUCUCCAUUUUCUUGGCUAUCUUUGGUGAUGGGGUGUCGUGGCAUCUCCAUUAGAACAAGCUGUGUAAACUAUUAAAUUAUAACAUAGCUUACUCGUUCAUCUUAGCCUUCUAAAUAAAUAUCUGAUAGUUACUCUUCACUCAAGACCACCAGACAACACAACUUCGGGAGGCACAACAACGUGUCACGUGCUUCGGCUUUCCCUUCCUGUGGAGAGAACGAAGCGAAACCAUCCGCUCUAGUCGCUGCAGUUUCCCCGCCGUCUCCGGCAGCUCUCCUACCCGGACGAUCUCUGGUCAUCGGCGGGAGGGGAGUCACCGGAUCCCGUGUGUGGCUUGUUUAGCAGUAGUUUUAGGGCUAGCAUGCUUAGGUUUUCAGCCGGCCAUGGUGACUACUUUGGUGGUGCUGUGACGGCAGCGAAUAAAUUUCCUCUGGAUUCCUCUUCGACAUGCUCCUCUUUGUCGUCAGAAGUGGAUCUGGUUGGUCUGGUGUCGUGACGUCUCCAGCGGCGGUGAAAACUCGGUGGAGGCCCUAUGUGCUUCAAUCCCAUUGCCGCGAUGGUGUUUGCUCCGGCGCCGUGGUCGGGAUUGGAGGCCUCGUUCCGGAUGCAGUGGGGUCGCCGGUGUUAUCUCCUUCGAGAAUGACGGCGGCGACCUGAUCUGAAAGAUAGCCGGUUCGGCACGAGAAAGACGGGUCCAGGAUAGCGGCUUCGGGUCUUCUCUCCAACAUUGUUGGAUGAGUGCAGUGAAGCCGUGGAUAGAAGAUCGUGGGGAUGAUCACGGUGGACGAGCCGCAAGGUCUCAUACCACACGGUGGUUUGCUUCAUCUACUUACAACGCAGCUUUAUCUGUUAUGUAGCUAAUUCUAUCCUUGGCAAGUUCGUGUCUCCCCUCUUUCCGAUGAAGUUUUUGUGACGGCGGCGUACGGCGGUGAGAGCUGGUUGUUUUGCUUUUAGGAUCCCAAGCGUUUCUUUGCAAUUUUUCGUGUGUUUCUUCUUGCAAUGUGUUGUACCGUAUGUGUUGUGGAUGCCUCUUGAUUGUGGUUAUGUGUGGGUUUGUAAUUCUGCUCAUGAAUAAAUAACACGUUGUUUACCUCAAGAGAAAACUCCAUGAGGCUAAAUAAAUGCUAGGCCCACUUGUCAGCCUCAAACAUCCUUUCUUCUUCCUUCCUCCACUCAAUUUUGGCAAACGUUCGAAGGGGGGCAGAAUUUGGAUAAGCAACUAGUGAUGGGAUUGGACUAGUGAACUUGCUUUUUAUUCCCAAACUCUUGGUUACACACACAUGGGAAUAACAAGUUGGAAUUUGCAUUUUAGAACACGAUGUCGCACGAGUGUGCGGCCAUGAGGACUGUGAGCAGGCGGAGCAAAGGCUGCUGCACUAGGAGGUGCCAAGCGUCCCGUACGUCGAACAAGGAUGUAUUCGAUGUCAAGCUACAGCACUAGCAGGUGCUCUGCCUCCGAUUGAGCGAGGAAGGUGCUGCACUGAGCAUCAACAUGAUGGCAAAGAAGUACUGGAUCCAGUUGUCAUGAACUGCCAAACCUGCUUAUCUUCUAAUUCAUCUUGGUCGUCCAGUAUGCAAUCAAUGAAGGAUGCGGAAGGGUUGGUUACUCUGCGACUUGCCAGGGGCAAGUCACUUAAUCCAUGUGCAUAGCACACACCCGUGCUGGUGCUCCUGUUGCCUACCAUACCUAUCGCCCUACAAUUUUCCGGUCAACACCCUAAAACAAUGUUAUUAGAGUGUACAAUUACAGUCCUAGAGAAAGAGGCAGCACCAAAAACUCUACUUAUGCAAGGAGCGUGGUAUGGUAGAGAAGAAUAUGAAGAGUCUAUGUAAAGAUAUUCAACUCUACCCAUGUUUCGAGAGUUGGCACAUGCAGUUAUUUCAUUUACUGUGGUCAUGUUUGGUUCAAAACUUGAAUUCUAAGGAGAGCAUAAUACCAUGCAUGGUUCAAAUGGAAAGGUACUAGGAGUAACAUAAUUUGAAGAAGUCUUCGAUGGCCUCUUUUGCAUUUUUUAAACGGUCGUCAGUAGUCACUUUACUAAAAUAUCAUCUUAAUUAAAUACUCCCUCCGUCCGGAAAUACUCGUCGGAGGAAUGCAUAAAAAUCAAUGUAUCUAGAACUAAAAUACAUCUAGAUACAUCCAUUCCUCCGACGAGUAUUUCCGGACGGAGGAAGUAUGUAUUACACCAUCUUAAACUAAUGGAUUCCCGUGUAUGUUUCCUCUCACAUCAGCAUCACUAGUUUAAUUGGACAUGCAAUGUUUGCCUUUCAAAUAGAGCAAAUGCAUUUGUGAAGACAAGGACGGAAGAAUUUUAGCUCAUUUUUAUUGUCAAUCAUGCCGAAUGGCCAAUGGUCAUGUGUGUGUCCAAAAAGAAAAGCUUUAGAUGUCAGCCGAAUUUCAUUCCCAUCUAAUCCUUGGGAUGGAUGACAGCCUUGCUGGAGCAGCAACUACACACAUGCAACAGCUACCGCUCCUCCAUUGAAUGAUAUUCAAUAAGUUUCACUUUGGGAGAUGAUUCAAAUGUAUGUCCCUGAUUUGGAUUGACAUCUUAGUGUACAAAUCUAUCUAGGAUAUGAAAUUUUGACAAAAAAUAACCACCCAAUUAGCAAGGUUUCUCCCUAACUAAUAUCAAUUAAAGAGAUGAUGGACGAAAAUAUCCUUUUCAAAUACCUAGCUAGUUCUCAAAUUUGUAUGUCCUCUUACGCAAACUUUGAAUUGUAAAGGUGAUUCAUUUUGGUUAUCCUUGAUUACUGUUGUUUGGUUCACCUGGAGCACGCCAUGCACAUGUAUGUUUAAAGGCCACGUUCCGAGGGCCUCUUUGACAACAGUCGUUUUAUUCCACCUGGUUUGUUUUGCCGUUGUGUGCUAGAUGUAGGAAUGUGUUGCCGGUGAGGAGAUCAACUACAUCCAAUUUUAAUUUAGCUGCACAUGAGUCGCCUGGAAAUGGAAUUUGGAUCAAUCAAUUUCGUAUGAACAAAGCAGCCGAUGGAGGGAAGGAAGAAGCAGCAGCCGGCUCAGUGAAGAAGCCCUUUCGGGAUAUGUUAGGGUGGCAGGCGACCCCAUUAUCUAUUUUAAGGGUGUGGGGUGGUGUAGGUUCGUCGGAAAAACUGGUCAUCGCUGGGGUUAGAGGGAUGGCCGCACGGCUGAGAGGAGGCGGUUAAGGGUGGGGCGGGGUGGCGAGGCUGGAGCAGGAGCGCCGCCGGCCGCAGAUGAUGGGGCUGGUUGUUCAGCCGGUGGUACGUUAGGCUGAAGAAGCAAUCUUGACCGCUUGUUUUGCAUCGGACGGCUAAAAUGAAUCAAUUGACUCAAAUUGAUUUUUGUGUUGACUUACCCCUAGCCAACCCCGUCCAAUUUUAUGUGGUCGUAUGGACUCGUACUAAUCAAGACUAGUCCAAACUGAGAUUUAUUGUGUCAUACUUUAUUGAAAAAAUUGAAUUCUAUAUAUGUCUAUAAGAAAAGGUUUGUAAGUAAGUUUGGACAGAAAUCGGAUGUAUUGGUUCCAUCUACAUAGGAUGUACACACUGACAAUCAAAACGUGAGAUUUCAAAAGCACAGUUCAAAUGGAAAAGUACUAAUGAAGUCUUCAGGAGUCUCUCUCCCCUUCUUUCACAGUUUCUUCUUGUCACGACACUAAAAUAAUAAAAUAUCAUCUUAGGUAAAUAUGCCUGACGACAUUUCUCUUUUGAAGUAGUAUCAUGAGAAUUUGGAGAAAAGGAAUUUUCCAAAUUCAUCAAAGACCUAUCCCAUGAACAAGUUGUAGAAAAAAGAGUAGUUCCUUCUUCAUUGCCAUCAUUCAGUAAAAUAUUCCUCUGCAUUCAGCGACUGCCAUGGGUUUAGUGUUGAGCUCAUCCUCGAACUAGUUCACUAGAUGAAAGAGGCAUAGCUCGGGUGGAUAUAGGGCUUCAACUGAGGGGGGUUUGUGUUCCCUUCAUGGGAUCGAGCACCACCAAAGAGCCCUCUAGAGAGAAGAGCUAGGCGAUGUCGACUCAUCAUGAGUUCAUGACCAUGUUGGAGAAACAAAGUUACGAUGUGGAAGAAACACCUGGCAUGUGGGUCGGUACACCUACCAUAGUGGCAUAUGGAUCCAAAGUUUGAACCUAUUGUUUUUUCCUAAACUGGUUAGACCUUGUGCAAAUUGCAAAUUAGUAUAGGACACUAUGGAAAAAGUGCAACAAGUUCAAUUUUACAUGAUCCAACGGCAAUAUAGUGUAAUUUAUUUGGAUUGAGCAGCGAUUGUGCUAACUUUUUCCCUAUCUUAUUUGCAUGUACCCAUAGAUGAAUUGCAUCUUUCCCAAGCUACGAUGAGGUUGCAUCGGGCUGUGUACGGUCAUGAUUCUCUUGAGCCCAAGCAGCCCGUACCACUUGCUCGAGCAGCUGCACACCUUUAUGGACAACAUGUAUUAGUCGACAGUACCAGCCGUGCCACCAUUAGAAAGUGGUUUCAUCGUCUACCAGAACCAUGAAGAUGUGCUUGGACCGCAUGUCUUUGCUAAAGCCAAAUUUAGAGUCCCAAAAGCACAUCUUGGGAUGUUUGUUUACUCUAGAAAGAACAUACACAUGGUACGAUUUGUGUGAACUAAUUGUGUACAUGGCUUUUGACCAGUAUCAGAGGAUGCAAUGGUGCCACUAUGCUCAAUUCCUUUGUUAACCUUGUGAAUGCAAACAUCGGAUCAAGGACGGGAACAGAAUAACAAGUAUGCCAUUCCAUCUCCCUAGCCAGAUCACUGUAGCUAGUUGUUUGGUCCAUCUAGCAUAUCGAGAGUUAACUCGUUAAUUCACUUAUCUGUUCCUUUUGAUGUCGGGCCAUGGAAAAAAGAUCAGGCCCGUUUACACACACAAAAUCAGAUACUCUAAACUCUCAGCACAUGUCUUUCUUAUGCAACCAACUAUAAAGACAUUUUCCCAUCGACAAUAACACUAAAUGCACAUAGUUUUCUCGAAAAUAAAACCUGCUACUACGAAAAAUAUCACACAAAAGGCCUUAUUUUUUACUAUUGAGGAGCCCUCUACUCCCAAAUUUUAUUUGAAUGAAGCUAAUACGCGUUGAUACAUAAAUUAAGUUUCCAGUUACUCAUACAAAAAAUGUAUACAACACUAUCCAACAGGAAACACUGGAUAUUAAGCGUAACCGGUGUUCUUUUGUACAUCCGGUUAGAUUUUUUUGCUAACUCAAGGCUUAGAGGUCCUCCACGUUCCUUGAGGUUCCACAUCUUCUCAUCAUUUUUACCUUCUAUGUUGACCCUGUUUGUUGGACCUGGAUAUAACUAGUAGCUUGAUUACAUUGAGAUGUAACUCUGACAUAUACACCACUUUGUGCACACAGAAUCCAAUCCACCUUCUGUUUCCGGUGGUCCCGUUGCCUAUCAUUCCUAACAAUCUUUACCAUUUUCCCGAUCAACGCGCUUGAGCAAUAUUAUUAGAGCAUACAAUUACAAUUCGAGAUGAACACAUGGCACCAAAACUCCACUUAUAUAAGACAUGCAACAUGGUAGAGAAGAACAUGAAGACUUUAUGUAAGAGGGUGAACUCUGCCAAAGUUUCAAGAGUUGGCAAAGGCAGAUAUUUCAUUUAUUGUGGACAUGUUAGGUUGAAAACUUGAAUUCUCUGUUUAGUAGAAGAAAGAAAGCACGAGCAUAUAAGUUGUCUAUCACAAUACCAUGCACAGUUCAAAUGGAAAAGUACAGAGUUUGGACAAGUCUGUGGGAGUCUCCCUUUCUUUGACAGUCUCUUCAGUAGCCACUUGAUUGAAAUAUCAUCUCAAAUAAAUAUAUACUACACCGUCUUCAUGUCAAACAGUCAAAAUAUCAUGAGAAUUUGGGGAAAACAGAAUGUCACAACUCAUCAACAACUAUCCAAUCCACAACUCUGUAGAAAUAAGAACAAUUCCUUCACUACCAUAAUUCAUAAACAACAACCAAGAAACUGGUCACCCUUUAAAGACUUACAGGUGAUGAGUGUCAUUCUAUGGCCAUUUUAACGCAAUGCUGACAAACAGCUAUGGACGUUGCUGACAAACCCAAUAUAAAUUACCUAUGGACAAGGGAACUCGUCGUGGCACAAAGUGAGGCAAGGUCACCAGAAGUGAAACCCUUUUUCCUUGCCUCUAUCACCGAGGGAGG
rnacentral:lncRNA from 1 species